rnacentral:lncRNA from 1 species
CCGAUCUAUCGCCACCUUCACUUCCUCCGAUUCCGAAACCCUAGUUUACAUCGGAACCCAGUCCGGUUCCCUAAUCCUCCUCUCUCUCAACUCCAAUUUCCCCUCACUUUCACACAGUUCAAACGCCUCAACGGCCAACGCUGCCAAAAAUGUUCCCUCUCAUUUGCGGAGCGUUUCGGUGUGUGAUUCACCGGUGGAUUCCAUUCACGUUGUGGCCGACAUCGGGAGGGUUCUGGUGCUUUCUGAUGGGUUCAUGUUCUUGAUGGAUUCGCUUUUGAUUCAGCCAGUGAAGAGGCUGAGUUUUCUCAAGGGGGUGGCCGUGAUUUCCCGGAGGUUGCGGACCGGCGAUGCUGAAAGUUUAGAUUUUUCGGAGAAUGUUUCGGGUUUGGUGGAGUCUUCGAGUGCGAGUCAGCGGUUUCUGAUGAAAUUGGGUAGUGGGAUUAGGGCCAACGGUGCGAAAGCUCGGGAAUCUGAGCACUUGCGGGACGGUAAUCGCGUGUUUGCCAUAGCUGCUGCUAAGAAAUUGGUAUUGGUAGAGCUUCUUUUGGUCAAUAGAUUAGGUAGGAGUGAUAGGGAGAUUGAUAGUGCUGGUGGGGGUGCUUCUUUUGUGAUUUUGAAGGAAAUUCAGGGUGUUGAUGGGGUCAGGACCAUGGUUUGGAUUGAUGAUUCGAUAAUUAUAGGUACUUCUAGUGGUUACAGUUUGAUUUCGUGUGUUUCGGGGCAGUGCAGUGUUCUAUUCUCGCUUCCGGAUCCAACUAGUAUGCCUCACCUUAAAUUGUUGAGGAAAGAGCAUAAAGUGCUUCUGUUGGUUGACAAUGUGGGAAUAAUUGUUAAUGCUUAUGGGCAACCAGUUGGUGGGAGCUUGGUGUUUCGCCAUUUUCCGGAUUCUGUGGGGGAGAUAUCUUCAUAUGUAGUAGUUGCUAGUGAUGGGAAGAUGGAAUUGUAUCACAAGAAGUCGGGUGUUUGUAUUCAAAUGGCUUCAGUAGCUGCAGAAGGAUCUGGUAUGUCUGUUGUUGCGGAUGCAGAAGAUGCAAGUGGGAAUCUUGUUGUAGUUGCAACUCCAUCCAAGGUGUGCAAGCCUUUUUUUAUUGGUUCAAUUCUAUGAUUAUUCUGUUGUGGGUGAUUCGAUAUUUAUUUGUGUCAUUGAUGAGAACAGAGUUUAUCCAUUAGUCUAAACUUUAAUAAGAGUCAGUAGAGUUUAUCACUUUGUAUUGUCUGUUUUUUGUGUGCCUGUGUGUAAAAGUAAUGCAUGCACAAUAUGAACACUUUAAUUAGAGAAGGUUUUAGUAUUCGAGGUUUUGAUCAUGGUGCUCUUUAUUCAAGGAUAAAUGCAUAAAAUACCUUGUGUGAUGGAAAAACAACAGUUUAGAAUCUCAAGGCGAGAUGAAGUGGCUUUCCUAUUAGGGGAGCAACAAGCUCUCGACUGAUAAUGUCAACCAAAUUAUUUCUUUAUAGGAAAAUAGAAUAUUAUAGAAAAACCCUUUCCAGAAAGGGAGUAUAUAAAGAGAGUACAUGCAUAUACAUAUAGAUAGAUAGAUAGAUAGAUAGAUAGAUAGAUAGAGAGAGAGAGAGAGAGAGAGAGAGAGAGAGAGAGAGAGAGAGAGAGAGAGAGAGAGAGAGAGAGAGAAUGUGACUUACUUAUAGAUCUCUAAAUUUGUCUUGAUCCAAUAUAAUGUAGGCUCAUUCAAUCUUGGCCCAAUUUAGCUCACUCAGAGAGAGAGAAUGUGACUUACCUAUAGAUCCCUAAAUUUGUCUUGAUCCAAUAUAAUGUAGGCUCAUUCAAUUGUGGCCCAAUUUAGCUCAUUCAUUCCUAGCCAAUAUGAUGUGGCCUAAGAGAGAGAGAGAGAGAGAGAAUGUGACUUACCUAUAGAUCCCUAAAUUUGUCUUGAUCCAAUAUAAUGUAGGCUCAUUCAAUCUUGGCCUAAUUUAGCUCACUCAUUCCUAACCAAUAUGAUGUGGGCUCAUUCCAUCCUGGCCUAAUACAAUUUAGGCCCUCUUGCCCUUGCUCAUGUACUCUUACCUUUAUCCUUGUUUUUUUUCAUCUUAUUUAAUUUAAUUUAAUUUUAUUAUUUUUACUUUUAUUUGUGAUUUAUUAUUUUUCCUCUUAUCUAUCUUUCAAUUUUUAUUUUAUUUUAUUUUAUUUUUUAUUUUUUUUAAUAGGUAAAGAGAAAGAGAUUAACAAUGCCUAAAAAGAGGGCAUACCAAGGUAGACACAAUGUAUACAAUAUGCACCAAAAGGCAAAAUAAAGGGGAAAGCUAACCAUAAAAACUUUCACCCUUCACUUGGAGCUAUGCCAAUCAACAAAGUCUUAACAUAGUUAAAGAACAGUUAUUGGUUGGCGCCCUGACUCAUUCUAACAAAGUGCUCUUAAAAACAAAUUUGAAUGCUUUGUCUAACUAUUAUACAUCUUCGAAAGGUAUCCUAUUUCUUUCCUUCCAAACCAUUUAAAACACGCACAAGGGAGCUACCCUUCACGCCUUUUUCUACUUUUUUCCUAUGAAGGAUCUAUGUUGAAGGAUUCCUCUUAUUGAAGCAUGCAACACCCAAGCCACUCCAAACAACAACAAAAAUUAGUUGUCUUAAAAUGUUUGCCUUAAGGUAGUGAAUGAGGAUGUAAUAAGUUGAUUCUUCAUCCUUUUUGUAGAUGUUACACUUGUUCUGUAUAACCUAUCCCCUCCUUUUGAGCUAGUCAAUCGUCAAAAUCCUAUCCUAAGUAGCUUCCUUAGUGAAAAAUGCCCAUUUUCGUAGGAGCCCAUGAAUUCUAUACAAUGCUUGUGGGAAAAGACUCCCUAUUAGUCUAAACUAGGGAGGAAUAAAAUGACUUAGUAGAGAAAAUGCCUCCAUUGGAGACCUUCCAACUCCUUUUAUCCCAUGCUUCCCCUUUGGUACAUAUUGGUUAGAAUCUUUGAAGGAAUUGCCUAGAGAAGCAAGGAGUCCACUUACUUCCCUCUCCUACCAGCUCCCACAUCUCUGCUACCUAGGAGUCCUUAGUAGAGGCUACAAAAAGUAGAUCUAGGAAUGACUCCUCUAAUUAAAGGUCUUUGCAUUGCUUGUCCCUCCAAAGCUUAACCCUUCUCUCUGUUGCCAACUAUAGGCAAGAUUUGCUUUUAAAAUCCUUCCAACCACUUUUAAUAGCUUUCCAUAAGCCCAUGCCAUAACCAUCCCUCACAUCUCUAGAGCACCAUCCUCUCUUCUUUCCAAAGCUUUCCUACUAUCACCUAUUUUCAAAGGGACUCUCGCUCUCUCUCUUUUGAAUCUUUGUUUUCACUUACCAAUGAGGACCUUAUUGAUGAGAUUGAAUUUUUGAUUCCAAGGCCCUAGUUCUUUUUAUCUAAGUGGAUAAUAGCCCAAUUAAUGAAAUGAGGUUUUUUUCUAGGGCCCCUCCAUCACAAAGAAAAUCUCUUUGAAUUUUCUCCAAUUGUAAACUCACCCUUCUAGGAAAUACAAAUCAUGUCAUGAAAUAGAUAGGAAGGCUAUUUCAGGUGUACUUCAGGCUUUCUUUUUACAAUUGCUUUUACUUAUCAAAAAAAAAAAAAAAAAAAGAUAGGAAGGCUAUAUAAUUUGCUUUUGAUUAAAGUGUACCUCUCUCUUUUUGAGAGGUAUUGGCUCUUCCACACCGCUAACCUUAACUGAAAUCUCUCCUUUAUCACAUCCUAAACCCUUAAGGACUUAUGGGGAGCUCCCAAAGGAAAUGCCAAAUGUGUGGAAGGCUUCCAACUUUACACUACACUCCUAACACCACAACAAGCUCCACCACAUUAGCAACUUCCCCAAUAGAGAUUAGUGUGCUUUUCUCGAAGUAUUUUCAAACCCGAAAUAACCUAAAAUCACAUAAGAGUCUAACUAAAAAAUUCCAACUACUCAAGGUUGUUGUCAUAAAAGCUUAAAGUAUCAUUGACAAAUAGAAGAUGAGUCAACUCCAACCACUCUCCUCCUCUGCUGCCACCUUGAAACUUGGAAAGAAGCCCCCUUCUUUCAUUCUUAGUAGCAUCUAACUAAGUGACUCCAUGGUCAAGAUGAAUAAGAAAGGAGAAAGGGGAUCCCCAUGACCCCCUAGAACUCUAAAAGAAACCAGCUAGAGUCUCGUUAACUAGAACAAAAAAUUUUGUUGUUGAAAUGCACCAUUUGAUUGAAUUGACCCACUUUUGGCCAAAACCCCAUCUUUUCCAUGCUUGCGACCAAGAAGUCCCAAGUGAUGUGAUUGCACACCUUUUCUAUAUCCAACUUACAAAUGACCUCCCUAUUAAAAUUUUUUAUCCGUGAAUUAAUAGCUUCAUUUGGGAUAAGGAUGACAUCCAAAAUUUGUUUACCCUUCACAAAAGCAUGCUGAAAGAUUGAAACCACCUAAUCAACUACCUUUUUGAGCCUAUUGGCCAAGACUUUCCCUUAAAGUUUAUACAAGCCCCCUACCAGGCUGGUUGGCUUAAAAUCUUUUAAAUCCUUUUCCUUCCCUUCCCCACCCCCCCUGCCUCGCUGCCUCCCUCCCUCUUUGAAAUCAAGACAAAAAAAAAUGGCAUUUAAGCUUCUCUCAAAGGAGCCAUUAUCAUGGAAGUCUUUAAAAAAAUCCAUCACCUCUUACUUAACAAACUCCUAAUCAAAUUGCUAAAACACCAGGGUGAAGCCAUCAGGCCUUGAGCCUUCUCCCCACAUAGACUAGACAAAGCUAAAAAACUUCCUCCUUGGAGAAGGGGGAUUCUAAAGACCUAGCAUCCUUGUGCUCCAAAGAUACAAAGCUCAUCCCCCUUAUGUUAGGUCUUAAAUCUUCCAAUUUGGACAAGAGAGAUUGAAAGGCCCUAACCAUGCCUUCUUUAAUUUCUACAUCCUCAACAAGCUAUUAAUUGUUAAUUUGGACCUUGUUUCUAGUUUAUUUCUACUUUUAUCUUUAUUUUUUUCUUCAUUUUUUGAACUUUAUUUUGAAUUUAUGAUUUGCAUUUUUUUGGCUCUUGUGUGGAAAAGAGGAGAGAGAAGGUUAGAUUAUAAAGGAGGACAGGGAGAGUGGAUUAAGGGGAUUAGGCCUUUGAUUAGGAGAAGAAAAGGAACCCUUUUUUUUUCUUUUUAAAAUUCGAAAAUAAUUAAGAGAAAAAAUCCUAGUAAAAGAUAAUGGAAAGGAAUGAUUGGCUUGAUUUUGGGGUUGAAAAAGGACGAUUAAAAGUCUAAGAUAGGAGAAAGCAAAGAAGAAAAAGAUAUUAGAAAGGAGGCAUUUUGACUGGAGAGGGAAAAGGAAACUAAUUGAAACUUCAAAUUUGAUUUGAGUCAAUAAAAAAAGGUAAAAAGUUGGGAGGGGGUUGGGGGGAGAGAGGAAAUCUUAGAAUUUUGAACACAUGUUGAAGAUUUCUUAUUUNNNNNNNNNNNNNNNNNNNNNNNNNNNNNNNNNNNNNNNNNNNNNNNNNNNNNNNNNNNNNNNNNNNNNNNNNNNNNNNNNNNNNNNNNNNNNNNNNNNNAAAGAGAUUCACGAUAAAGCGGGGAGGAAAAAAAAAGGGGACUGUGGGGGAUUUUGAGAGUAGAACGGAAGGAGGUUUUUGCCACAUGCAUAUAUGAUUUUCUUUAGAGCAUCAAACGAAAAGAAGAGGGCUAGAAUAUUCCAACCAAUCAAAGAUGAAGUUGUCUUCAUUCCUUUUUUGGUUAAUCUCCUUUCCCUCAUAAAUCAUUGUCUAAUCUCAUAGUCACAUCAUCAAAUCUAUGUCAUUUUUUUUUAUAGAUGAGAAAGCAAAUGCAUUAAAAGCACAUGGAAAAGGUGCACCAAGUACACAUGGAGUAUAUGAAGAGCAUCAAAAGGAUACAAAGGGAAAAAGAGAAACAACAAACCAUAGCUCAAACCAAAAACAAUGACCUAUGGAUCUAUAGAAAUAGAGGGCUCCAAAAUGACCUAUAAUUAAGAUCAAAAUCUGCCACUUGACAAAGGCCAUCAAAUCGCCUCAAAACAAGCAACAACUACUUGCUUCAACAAAUACCACUCCCCCAAGCCAGUAUCUGACGUGGCUACCUACUAUUCCUUUGAAAAAAUCGAGCAAACAAACUACUAUGAAUCCCUUUCAAGAUUUGAAGAGAAUGUAAUCAUCCUCUUCUCCACUCCGGUCCCCUUAUUGUGUCUUUGGCCUAGACACUUAGAAACCAAUUCCCACCACUCUUCUUGCUCCUUCUCCCUUUUCCACUUGAUUGAUUGUAGUUAAUUGAACAACUUCCAAAGCUCCCUUUCAACGCAAGAUGUAGAGAAAGGCCUCCCCUUAGUACUCGAGGUCACCACUUUACAACCCUUUUUGGCUUCCAACUUUCUCAACAAGGACGCUACUUCCUUCUCACAAUUGUUCACUGGCAAACCCAACCACUCCAUAAAGGAUACAAAAUUCUUGAAUGACAGGUUAGAGAAAUUCUUGUCACCCAUCAUGUCCUUACUAGGGCUAUCCUUUCUUAAAACCAUCUUUUCACUGCACAAAUCAGGGUUUGCGGACUUGGCCGCAUAGUGAAUAUUUUGGAAGUUCACAACCAAACCCUUAUUGGAAAACCAGCACAAAGGCCCACAACCACCACCCUUACUUUCUAUUGAAAAUCCUUCAUCUUGAUUCCUUCAAGAAACUAAGUUAUUGGCCAUCACCAUCAAUGCACCCUUGUCUUUGAAAUUAGAAGAAGAAGAAAAAGGGGAAGUCCUGAUCCCCAACAGGAAAGCAAAAGAUGAGUCAUUACUUGCAAAGCCAUUUUCUUUAACCUAGUCCUUUUUGGAAAGGAACUUAUCAUGUAGAUAUUCCUCCUGGAUUUCCUUCCCAUGGUUUUGUUGUGUGCAUGCUCAAAAAAUAGAUGUUUAUACAUGUUCAAUAUGACAAUUUGUUUUGGUUUGACAAAGAGAGACACCUCCACUCUAGGGGCACUCAGGAGUUGGUGAUAGGGUUCUUGUCACUCAUCUGCUGUUCGAUGACAAUAUGCUGGUCUUUUGCGAGGCUUCCCAUGAUCAGAUGACUUAUUUAAGCUGGUUGUUGAUGUGGUUUGAAGUCAUCUUAGGUCUGAGAAUCAAUUUGGAUAAAAGUGAAAUUUUGUCGAUAGGGAGAGUAGAGAAUCUAGAGGCUUUGGUUCUCGAGUUUGGUUGCAAAGUGGGGAUGCUCCCAUCUACUUACUUGGGGCUUCCCUUGGGUGUGCAGUACAAGUCCAUUGUAGUUUGGGAUGGGGUGGAGGAGAGAUUUCGGUAAAGGCUUGCCAUGUGGAAGAGGCAAUUUAUCUCUAAAAAAGGGAGAAUCACUUUGAUUUGGAGUACUUUGUCUAGUAUGUCCAUUUACUUUAUAUCUUUAUUGUGUAUUCCAAGAGUGGUUAGAUUGAGAUUGGAGCAAAUUCAAAGAAUUUUUUCGUGGGGUGGGGAGCUAUGGAGAGGAAGCUUCAUCUUGUAAAGUGGGCUACUGUCUAUUCGGACAAAAGAAAGGGUGGUUUGGGAGUUAGAUGUCUUUCUACUUUCAAUAGGGUCCUUUUGUGUGAGUGAACUUGGCGUUUUGCGACUGAAAGGGAGACUCUUUGGAAGCAAGUUAUUAGUAGGAAGUUUGGGGAGGAAGAAGAGGGGUGGGAUACCCGGGAAGUGAAGGAGGGGUUUGGUGUGGGGUUUUGGAAGGAAACCAGGAAGGAAGGGUCUUUAUUGUAAAACAAAGUUGUAUUCUCUGUGAGGGAUGGUAGAAGAGUGAGAUUUUGGAAGGAUGAAUGGUGUGGGAACAAUGCUCUUUGUGAUUCUUUCCCAUCUUUGUAUGCUUUAGUGGCUUCUAAAGAGGCUUGGUUAGUGGAGUUGUGGGACUAAACGAGUGAGGAAGGGGGUUGGAGUCCUAGGUUCUCUAGGCCCUUCAAUGAUUAGGAGGUGGAGAGGUUACUUGUGACAAUACAAGGAAGGAGGCUUAAUUCUACUUUGGAAGAUAGGGUGCUGUGGAAAGAGACUAAGGACAGGAUUUUUUCUAUCAAAUUUCUUUAUAGUGUUCUAGAUUCAAGAAGUGUUGUUCAGUUUCCAAAGAGCAUCAUUUGGAGCCCUUGUGUUCCUACUAAAGUGGGUUUUUUUUUUGCUUGGGAAGCGUCUUGGGGUAAGGUGUUAACUUUGGAUCAACUAAAAAAGAGGGGGUGGACCUUAGCUAAUAGAUGCUUCCUUUGUUAUGCGGAAGAAGAGUCUAUUGAUCAUAUUCUAAUUCAUUGCAUCAAGGCAAGAGUUUUAUGGGAGUUAUUGUUUGCUCUUUUUGGAGUGAUUUGGGUCCUUCCAUAUUUGGUUAAAGAUACUCUUCUUGGUUGACAUGGUACCUUCAUGGGCAAGAAGUGUAGUAAGGUGUGGAUGUCAGCCCCCUUAUGUCUUUUUUGAGCGGUUUGGAAGGAAAGAAAUAAAAUUGCUUUUGAAAAUGAGGAGCUUUUGAUUCAUAGGAUGAAAAGUUCUUUUGUAUGUAAUUUUUGGUCUUGGACUAAGUUGGUUAUAGAUGAAGGGCCUUUACCGUUAAUAAACUUUUUUGAUUGGUUGGGUUCUAGAUGAGGGAUGGUGAAUUUUUUGUAUCCCCUCUUUUUUUUUGUUCUUGUCUUUUGGCGCCUCUUGUAUACUCCCCUGUUUGCUUUGGGUUAGCCUUCAGGCACCCUUUUCUCUCUUCAUAUAUAUAUAUUUUUGGAAUGGCUCGCCGUUCCUUAAGGGGUGGUGAGUGUUGGUUUUUGUUUUGGCUACUAUGUAUAUGUCCUGUAUGCUUUGGGGCUUUUUGCCUUGUUUAAUAUAUUUGCGCUCACAUAUCAAAAUAUAUAUAUAUAUAUAUAUAUAUAUAUAUAUAUAUAUAUAUUUUUCUGUGCUUUACUUAUAUAAAAAAAAAAAGAUUCCGUAAUAUCUUUUGCCUUAAAACUUUUACAUUUUUUUUUCCCUUUUUUUUGUUUCUGUCAUUAGCUUCUGUUUUCUCUGCCUAAGAUAUCUCACCCUGAUUCCUUGUGUACCUAUUGCUCUUUUAAUUCAACUUCCAUUCCUACAAAAUAGAAUUAUGCACCAAUGAUUCUUUAAAGAAAAAGUGCCUAUAGAUUUCACUCAAUUUGGUAUAUCUUGCAAAGAAUAUUGCAUCUGAAUAUAACAUGAUCUGUAGACUAUGACUGUACAGUCCAAAAUGAUCUGUGUUGUAACACUCUUCUCAUCACAAAAAUAUUUUACUUAAGAUAUGUGUGAUUGGAUUGUAGCUACCAUUUCUACAUGCUGUCCAAGUUGCUGGGGCCAUGGUUGUCUUCCUUCUAAUUUGUUUGAGUAUUGAUUUCUUUAUUUUUGAUCUGCCUGCAAACAGUUUCAUAAGUACAUCAUUUGCUCAAGCAUCAUAUUUUGUGAUCCCAUAAUGGCCAUAUGCUACACCUAGAUGUGUGCAUAAGUUGGAAGAUUGUUUGAAAAUUUACCUGUUUCAUGGUGAAUAAUUUUUUAGGUUAUUUGCUACCGUAAAGUGCCUUCAGAAGAACAAAUUAAAGACCUUUUGAGAAAGAAGAACUUCAAGGAAGCCAUCACCUUAGUGGAGGAGCUUGAAUCUGAAGGUGAAAUGACGAAGGAGAUGCUUUCAUUUGUUCAUGCUCAAGUGGGGUUCCUCUUGCUCUUUGAUUUGCAUUUUGAGGAAGCAGUGGAUCACUUUUUGCAGUCAGAAACAAUGCAGCCUUCUGAAAUAUUUCCAUUCAUAAUGCGAGACCCAAACCGCUGGUCUCUUUUGGUAUAUCUUUUACAGACUCAUGUCCAUGUCUUUGCUGUCAAUGCAUUUCUUAAUGGUCAUUUCUUUUAUUUGGUAUUUUAUUAGCUGAUGUACUAUGUUGAUAGAUCCUUUGGCAUAGGCCAGUGCUCAAAACAACAUUAUUCAUUUCUAGUCAUACUUUGCUAUGGAGCUGUCCUGGAUUUAUUUAUAUCCCAAUUUCAUGUGCUUUUGAGUAGCAUUUUUUGGUUGAUUUCCACAAAAAAUUUCAUUUAAUAUUUUCUCUCCUUUGAAAAUGGGGAAGGAUGCUCUUAUGUUUUUUUCAUUGACAAGUAAAGAACUACAUUAAAAUUGCCUAGUGAAAGGGUGCAUUAAAAUACAUGGCAUAUACAAGGGUGUCAAAAGUCAAAGAACAAAAGAGUAAAACAGAGAAAUCACUCCCUCAGCUUACUUGUAGCCUAAUCAAUCAACAAAGUCUUCCAUAAAAAUAGACAUCUCCUCUAACCUACUCCAAAAAAUUACACAUAAAAAGAGGUUUUAAGCUCUUGAUUUGAGUCUUCCACAUUGUCCAAUGACUUGAUUUCUGUCCUACCAAAUAGUCCAAAACAAACACAGAGGUGCAGCUUUCAAUGUUUUCUUCUGCUUCUUCUUGUCAAAGUAUCCAUUCCAACUUAGAAGGGUAGUUCUUACUCCACACUCGUACUAUUCCAAACAAGGAGAAGACAAACUGCCAUAGGAUUCUUGCUUUGGCACAAAUGAGGAUAUGCUCAGCACAUUCUUUCUCACCUUUAUACAUAAAACAUCAAUUCACCAAAGUGCAUCCUCUCAUUUUAAUUGAUCGAUAGUAAAAAGUUCUUUUCCAAAUUAUCUCCUAGGCAGAAAGCCUACUCUUGUUGGAACCCAUGGAUUCCAAAUAACAUCCACAAAAAAAGGCUCUAUCCCCCCUGUACCAUCCAAGAAUAAUAGGAUUUAACUGAGAAGUUGCCCCUAUUUGAAACCAUCCAGACCAAACCUAUCCUUGCAAUCUCAAUAGGAAGGCUUCAUAUUAAGGUGUCCUAUUAUGUUAAUACUGUUAAUGAUGCUUGAUGCUACCUUACUGUUGGGCUAUUCCUGCUGGCUACGAUAGUGGUGAAACACUAUUGAGGAAUUCACAUAUUACUUGCAAGCUCUUCCUCCGAUCUAUUGGAAUGAUGUUCUUAUGUUAAUAUUAUUACUGUUCUGGACAAUUGUUGUUUCUGACAGUUAUGAGAUACUUAAUCUUGAUACACUUAGUGAUAGAGAAUACAAGGUGCGUCACCCGUUAUAUUUUCUAGAGCUUUUCACUGAAACUAUUUUUUUUAUUGAUUCUAUUUUUAAGGGAGUAGUUUUUUCUAACACUUCUCAAUGAAAUAAUAAAGGGUCAAUAAAAUAUGACAUGGUAUUUAUGCUAGUACAACUGAGCAAUUGAUUCUAAUAUGUUGCAAAAGGAUGGAACAUUGUUGAUGAUAUGUGGUAUUGAAGAUGAAAGCAUUAUUACUUUUCUUGCUUGUAUAUAAUUAAUCUGUGUUGAUCUCCUUAUGUUGGUAUUUGCAAAAUCUAAAAUCAUAUCAUUGAACUUAUGAUUCAGGUUCCCCGGAAUCGGUAUUGGGGUUUGCAUCCUCCCCCUGCACCUCUUGAAGACGUUGUGGAUGAUGGAUUGAAGGCUAUCCAAAGAGCUAUUUUUCUUAGAAAAGCAGGUGUAGAAACCCCAGUAGAUGAUGAUUUUCUUUUGAAUCCACCAAGUAGAGCUGAUCUAUUGGAAUCAGCUAUCAAAAACAUUAUCAGGUGUAUAUACAUUUCUUGUGUUUGUCUUUUUAUUUUUUUUUGUUCUUAUCAUUAUUAUUACUGUGUUGGGUUUCAAAUUAGGGUAAUCAUAGAUUAUUCUUAAUAGAAUCUGGGUAAAAUAAUCCAUAUGUUUUUAAGUUUGCAUUUUAAAUAUUUUAUUUACUUUAGUUUCAUGGUUGUGGCUUGUGACUAAUGCUAGUUUGAAUACAAUUCUCUUUGUCUCAUCUGUUACAGGUAUCUACAGGUUUCACGCAGGAGGGACUUGACUUUGUCAGUGAGGGAGGGAGUUGAUACACUUUUGAUGUACCUCUAUAGAGCCCUAAAUAGUGUGGAUGACAUGGAGAAGUUGGCAUCUUCUGAAAACAGUUGUAUUGUGGUAUGUGCCAAAUUAGAUUUGCUCUAAGGUAUUCAUAUUCUUGCAAUAUUUUCAAAUCCGGAGCAUUGAGGAACCUGUGAAAUGACUUUAUUUAUGUCAUAUAUAAGUUGAUAAACAAAAAAUAAAACAGAAGAAAAACUGAAAAAGAGAGAAGUUUGAAAAAGAUUUCCCAAUAUACUUUGCCUAAUACCAAAAGGCAAAAGGAAAAAACUAUUUAGUUAUAUAAUAAGAGUAGAUAAAUUGGGCCUUACUAAAAGAAUAUAAAUAAUUAAUAUUAACUCACCUUGACAUCAUUGGUAUGUCAAAUCUGAAAGUGGGCUUUGCAUGUCAUACGCCUUAAACUGGGCUCUCUCUCUUGGGACUGUGAUUGUUAUGUUGACUAACUGCUAAAUUUGAAGGAAUUUCACUAAAAAGUCAUGAACAAUAGUGUAGGGGUUUCAAAAACUUGAAGGGGGACUAAUUGAUGGUAUGGACUAUUUCAACCAUCCAAUUUGUUCCGGGUUUGAAAACAUUGUAUCCUGGGUUAGUUAUAGAGUCAAAAUCAAAGUAGUUUAUAAGCCUCAAGACAAUGCGCUAUGUCGAAUGUUGGUAAACAGCGGAAUCUUAGUAUUCCAAUGCAUUGCAAAACAGAGAGGCUGUUGUCCGAAGCCUGCUUGAAGGAUGACCGUACAACUUGCAUGGGCGGUGCAGGAGGAGUUAGAAACUUUAUUGGAUGAAUCUGGACAUUUGCGGACACUUGCCUUCCUGUAUGCAAGUAAAGGAAUGAGCUCAAAGGCUCUUGCUAUUUGGCGUAUUCUAGCCAGAAAUUAUUCAUCUGGCCUCUGGAAAGAUCCUGCAGUGGAGAGUGAGCUUCUGGAUACAAAUGCAAGUACUCUCUCUGGCAAGGAGGCUGUUGCAAUUGAGGCCACAAAGAUCCUUGAAGAGUCAUCUGAUCAAGAUUUGGUCCUGCAACAUCUUGGAUGGGUAUGCCAUUUUGUGUUUAGAAUUUUUACUGUGCAGAAGGUUGUAGUUGUUAUGCUUCAUGACUCUAAUGUCUAAUUGGGAGCUUUAUGGUUUCUUUUAGAUUGCGGAUGUCUGCCAGGUACUCGCAGUUCGAGUUUUAACAUCAGAGAGAAGAGCUGAUCAACUUUCGCCUGGUAGGCAUCAUGUGCUUCCAAGUAACUCAUGUUUUCCCAUGUUUUGAUUAUUUUGAUAUCCAUUUUCUUUCAUAGUUUUUAAAGUGCUUCCCUUUUAGUACAGGCUUGCUAAGAAGCACAUAAAUGUUUUCUAGUCAUUAAAUGGUGGAUCCCCUUUUCUCUAAGCUCAGUUUAUAAAUUGUGACAUCUACUGAAUUUUGGUCCAUUUAUGCAGCUUUUUUAAGCUCAAUCAUGCUUUACAGUGCUGCAAUUUGUUUCAUGCAGUGCAAGUGUUAUCAUCUUUUUGCUAUAAAAUCUCGGCCGCAUGAUCCUCAUGUUUGGCUGAAGGAAUUGGUCUUUGCUUACUUGAAGAAUUAAAAAUAUUGAAAUUCAUCUCUUCUUGAUUGUGACAACCAUUUGGGUUCAUUGUGAAAUGGAACAGGAUGUUCUACACAAAGACCAAUUAUGUCUUUUUAUGUGGAUAAUGGAUUUGUCAACCCUCAUACAGAAUAAGGGUCAAGGCCUAGAGUUCUAGAACUGGUUGAAAGAGGGGGUUGCUCAUCUCCAUGAUUCACAUCUUUUAUUUGGGAACAUGAACAGGUCAAGUGGCUUGAUAAGAGAGUGGCGGUUAAGGUGGCACUAUGGAGUUGGGUCAUGGAUGUGGUUACUCUUCAAAAGACAAAGUUGGAAAAUCUUGAUAAGAUGGCUAUGGGAUAAUCCUUGUUAUUUAAUGGGCAACCAAGAGAUAUCUUGGUAGAAACUUAAAAGAAGCUGCAACUUAGUUAGAACAGCAACAAAAGACAGAGGUUCUAACUAACCUGUCCUUGAGAAACCACUGGAAAGAUAGGUUAUCUAUCUAUAAGCAAUCGUAGACUGGUCAAACUGCACUUUGAGGAAUUACUUCUCAAUUCCUCAUCCAAUUAGAAAACAUCUUUAAAAAUCCUUUAGUUGUUGUUGUUAUUUAUUUAUUUUGAUAGGCAGAAAUCCUUUAAUUAUGUUCAUCCCAAAUACACCAAAAAAAGAAAAAGCCAGACAACCUCCAUGCUUUUGAGUGCCUCAUCCUCAUAAAACUGCCAUGCCAACAAAAUAAGUUAUUCAGUUCUGGCAUCAUCCAGAAACACCCAUGACAACAGAUGCCACAAAAAUGAGGGUCUUCCCAUGUUGUCUUUUUCUUUUGUUUUUGUUCUACGAGAGAUUGACAUUUUUCUAAAAGAGAAGAGGCUUUAUGUGGUGAGGUUUCUAGAGGAGGAAAAGAUUGUUUCAGAAUCUCAUCAUCUAUAAUAGAUUGCUCUGAUUUCAUUAAAUGAAGCAAUCAUAUUUAUAUUUCUUUGCUGGAGGCAUUUGUUGGGCUUCCCUUCCUCCCCCAGUGUCUGUAUGGUUCUCUGAUUUCCGUGCUGGUUUUUUGUCUCCUCUACUUGUGAUUCCUUGCUUUUGUUUGGCUUGAAGGAUUGCUUAUCUUUCCUCAUGUUAUUUAUUUAUAAUUUAAAUUCAAAGUUUUGUUUUCUUGUCCAAGGAAAAGAGGGGGGAUGGGAGUGAUUUAUCCCCCACCGUGUUCUAGGUUGGAUGGAUUUCUCUUUUCAGCCAUUUGGGUGGGAGAUGUGGUUUUCUUAGUAAAUGCUUUUGUGAGGAGAAGAUAAAUUCUUAAUGGUUCUUCUUGCAAACAAGUAGGAAAACUGCACAGAUUAGCCAGGCUAGGAUGGGCUUCUCCUAGAAGUAUAAGCAAUAUAAUGUCCAUCUCCUUUAGAGGUUUGGGGACCAUUAUUAGAGGCAAAGUUUUAUGGAAAAAUUGCUUGUUUUAUCAUACUGAUUUGAUAGUGUAGUGGGAAAGAAACACAAUAUUUUUUUAGAACAAGUGAAGGGCAUUAGAGACGACAUGAGACCUAAUUUAUCUCUAUUCCUCUAUUUGGGCCUCUACAACCAAAGCUUUCAAAGGCAUUCUACUCAAUGUUAUUCAACUCAAUUGAGUAGUGAUGUGUAGACCAAAGGGUUAGUAUACCAAGGCUACAUUUGGUUGGCAAGAUAGGAUAUGAUAUGUAUAUCCUAGGACAUCAUAUCCUAUUGUAUAGGAAAUGUAUAUUUUAGGAUAUCAUUUCUAACGGGAUAUGAUAUCCUUAGAUAUUAUAUCCAAUGAACAUGAUAUUUUAAGGUAGUGUAUGCAAUAAGAUGUGUUAUGCUUUGCUUAUAUUUAGUUUGUAAAAUGAAUAAAAAAAUGAAAUGGAAUAUAUAUUAUUUUUCAAUGUUCUAUGUUUGUUUAAAACAAAAAUUAUAUUGCAUUCUAAUAUUUUGUAAUUAAAAAAAUAUAGUUCUCUUACGAUUAACAAUAUUCAUGAUGGAAAUAUUUGAAAAUUUAUAAAUAAAAAAAUGUUUAUAUAUAUGUUAUUCAAUAUAUAAAAAUGUUUUUAUAUUAAAUAAUACCUGUAUUGGUAUUGUUUUACAAUAUAUUUUAUAAAUAUAUUUUUAGUUCUUCUUUUUUAACCACAAAUUUAAUUCUUUAAUCAAAAUUUUUUAUUUUUUAAAAUAAUUAAUAUAAAAAAAUAAAAAAUUGAUAAAAAUUUUUUUGAUACGUGGGAUAUGUAUGUCCUAUGUAUUAACUUAGGAUUAACAUAUCCUAUAUAGAAGGAUAAAAAAAAAUGGUGAAUAAUAUAUCUCAUUACUUAUUCUAUCCCAUGUUUGGUUGAACAUAGGAUAUAAUAAGCAACGAGAUAACUUAUCCUAUCUCAUUACUUACCAGACAUGGGAUAAGAUAAAUUAUCCUCCCUUUUAUCCUAUCUUAUACUUUAUCUGGUGAACCAAACAUGGCUAAAAGGGAGGAUCAUUGUUUCAGGUCCAUUUUGGUAGGGUUCAGAUCAACUCCUAAGAGGCAAUUAAAUGAUGUAUUCUUCCUGUAUUUUAGAGAAGGUUUCUCUUCUUCUUUUGAUUUGGGAAGGAUUCCUCAUUCUUCAAUUGUACGUCUUAAUUCUUAUAAAUAAAUCUUUCUUUUUUAUUGCAAAAGAAAAAAAAAAGGUUGAAAAAACUGCAGGUUGUAUUUAAAUUAGACCUAAGAAGGCUAAUGAGUGUCAUUUGAGUUUUCCUUAAGUGGGACAGGGAUUGGGGAGAUGGAAGGUAAAGGGAUAGUGGUGUUAUCUUUUUAGUUAUCUUCUCCAUCAUUAUAAAUGGGCAUUCCCUUUUCCAUUUCUUUCAUAGCUUCCAAGGACGGAGGUGAGGGUAUGCGCUCUAACACCUUAUUUAUAUGUGUGUGUGUGUAUUAUAUUAUUUAUCAUAUGAUCUAUCUUGUGGGGCGAAGGUGGAUUAGUUUUGCUCUUUUAAAUGAAACUUUGUGUUUUUUGGGACUCUAAUUGAUGGGUAAAAGUAACGUGACAUUUGAUAUGUAUGAACAUUGAAUAGACUUGAAUUUAACUUAAAUCUGAAGAGUUGAAGGCAUGAGUUUGAAUGAUUUGUUUGUUUCGGUUGAUGCCUUGGUGUUAAGUGUGUUUUUUUAUUCUUAAAACAUCAGAAAAAUAGUAAUUAGAUGUUUUCCCUUACAAAAAAAUAAUUAUUGUGUUUGUUCUUAUUUUAUAUAAUUAAUGUAAAUUUAAAAUUUUGUUUUACUUAAAUUUUUAAAAUUUAUCAUGAUGCUUUGUGUGGUGGAGUUCCCAUGGGGGAGAAAUUUCCAAGUUAGUCAGCAUGGGAGAAUUAGUAAACUGCAAUGCAUUUUAUUUCAGAUAGAAUUUAUUAUUUUUAUUGAAACUAAAAUUUAAAAGCUAUGUGGUUCAUACCUUAGUUGGUUCAUUUGUGAGCGCUAUUACCUCAAACUAGUAGUACAUAGGCCAUAGGUAGUUCUCAAGCUCCAUGGCAUCGCUGCUACCACUGAAGACAGUUUGCCUUGGCACCUUCAAGCCAAGACUGUCCAGUCCAUGCUCCACACCUGGCUCCAGCAAGGUGAUCCACUUCUAUGUGUCAGUCACACUAAUGCCAAAACAAUCUCAAGUUUUGCAUUAACAUCAUGCAUUGUCUAUCUGUAUUGCCUUGUUGCAUGGUUCAACUGAUGAUAAUAAACUGUUAAUAGUUGCAUAUGAAUAUUAUCAUUGCCUUGUAAAAUUAUUUUCUGGAGUCAUUUCUUAUAUAUAUAUUCCAUGUGCUUACUGUAGAUGAAGUAAUUGCUGCAAUUGAUCCAAAAAAGGUUGAAAUUCUUCAGAGGUAUGCCCAUUUCUUAUUUCCAUAAAGCUUCACAAUAGUAUGAAUUAAUGCUUUUCAAAGGGGAAUGAAGUGAGUUGUGGGUGGAGGUCGUUAAGACAAGCAGGUGAAAACAAGAAAAAUGUUAAAAUGGUAAAGGCAACGCAUUCCUAUCAACUGUUACUACCCCCAAGUGCUAGGAUUGCAUCCAGCCUCCAUUUGAUAAGAGACAAAACAGAAUUGUUCCUUCAUAGUCCCCACAAAUUGGCAUUACCUUUUUUUUUUUUUACCCAGUUACACCUUUCAGUUUUCAACUUCAACCUACCCUGUGGGGGAAUCAACCCUCUCGUUUGCUAUAAGAUUCUUAACUAGGAUAAUCCACUUUCUUGUAACAUGCAUUGAAGUUCUUAGUGGAUUUCAUGUCAAGGCUCUCAUAUUUUCAAUGACUCAACCAAGAAAGGAGGUUUUAUCCUUGGAGAUUAUCUUUUAUCAUUUCUCUUUAAUGGCUCACGUAGUGGCAGUUCAAAUAGAUCUCCACAAGAUUUUGGAUUUGUACCUACGACAAUCAUGUCCAGCUACAAAGAAUGAGCUCCUCUCAUGCUCAUUCUGUUCUAUAAGUGACCCUUCUUCUAUACAAGCAAAAUCAGUAACAAAAGUUGUUCAACUUCAUAUGUGGAUAUGGAGUCCCCAGAAACUUUCCCCUGCUAUGAUUUCUCCAUAAGCAACCAGCAAAGCAAUGGAGAACUAUUCUCCACACCUUCCUCUUACUCCGUUUGAAUUUUCUACACUAACUAGACAAUAAUAUUAUAGCUCCCUCCCAUAGCCUCUGUUCCAUGUAAAAACUCCAAAAAAUCACCUUCAACUGCCCUCACUACUAGUCAGCUAAACACCUUCAUCACAUGAUUCGAGAGAAGUGGAGACCAUGCUUCCUCCUGUUAUUUACUCCUCAAGCUCUUGUAGAAACAUCCAACCCAUUAUCUCUUCCCAAAUGCCCUAGUCAACAUUUGCCAAAGAAAAUCUAAGGAAUAUUUUUGGAACAAAAACUGGAAUGGCAUACUAAGGAACUUUUAUGCUUUUUUGUAAUUUGCACAGUUUAGUUCUUUUGUAAAUCUGAAAUUACUUAAAAUUAAUCUUCGCUUGCUUACUCCAAUCUUAUGAAUAAAGCAGUUCAGGUUUCCAGUUCUUAAUGGCUGUGAUGUUGCUGACAAUGAUUAUCAGAGGAAGAGAAACCAAUAACACAUGAAAACCUCAAUAGAGGUGAAAUCAGGAGCCCCAGAUUAAGGCUAUAGAGCAAUCCAUGUUGAAAGAAAGAAUACAAGACUAGUCUUAGCAGACCAAGCUUUCCUGACCAGCUUCAAGUCAUACUUGGUUCUCCCUCCUUGAACCACUUCUCUUUCAACCUUAUCAUCCUAACAAGGUACCCAGCUCCUAAGUUCCUCAAUGAGAUUGGCUGGAACUUAUGGAUGCUACCUUGGAGUCAUACCAAGGCACUCAAUUGAGCUUUUCCUCAAACAGCAGCAAUUCUAUUUCUUCAAACUCAAUAUCAAUUAUCAAAUUGAGUAUCUGAUUCAAUUUAAUAUCAAAUUAGCCUUUUGAUCUUCAACUAAUCAGCUCUGGUUUUGAGAUAUCAGAAUCAAUCUUCUAAUUUCAUGAUGAAGAAUUGAAGAUGAACUUAAAUCUCAUGUGGUACUUUAUUGUUGUAUAGGUUCACUUAGUACUUUGGAGGCUUUUUAAGGAAUGUCGCACUCUUAGGGAAAUGGUUGUGGAGAUACCCUAGGGAGGGUUCAGCUCUACGACACGAGGUUAUUUCAAGCAUUUACGGAUCACACUCUAAUGGAUGGGAUGCCAACACAAUAGUAAGAUGGUCACAUCGUUGUCCUUGGAAGGCUAUUACACAAGUCUUUCAGGAAUUUUCCAAGUUUACUCGGUUUGCGGUAGGAAAUGGGGAUAGAAUUCGGUUCUGGGAAGACUUGUGGUGGGGGGAUCAAUCUUUGAGUUCCCAAUAUCCAAGACUAUUUAGAGUGUUCACGGAUAAAAAUAUUCUCAUUUCUUCAAUUCUCGGAUCUACUCGUCCCUUCUCUUGGAACUUUAACUUUCGUCGCAACCUAUUCGAUCCCGAGAUAGAAGAUUUAGAAGGUCUCAUGCGAUCACUUGAGCGUUUGCAAUUGACAUUUUCGGUUCCAGAUGUGAGAUCCUGGUCUCUUCUUCAGGGCUUUUUACAGUCAAGUCUUUCUUUCUUGCCUUAUCUUAUUGCCCUGAUUCUCUUUUUAAGUUUUCCCUACCAAGUUCGUUUGGAAUUCUCAGGUCCCUUUCAAGGUUAAGUCCUUUGUUUGGUUGGUGGCACACAAGAAGGUAAAUACUAAUGACUUGCUACAAUUGAGAAGACCUCACAAAGCCCUUAGUCUGGAUAUUUGUAAGUUGUGCAUGAGGCAUGGAGAAUCAGCAGAUCAUCUUUUCCUACAUUGUUCGUUGACAUUGGAGUUAUGACACAGAUUAUUUCAGUUAGCCAAGAUGGAUUGGGUUCCCUCGAGGAGCAUUUCCGACAUGCUAUCCAUCACUUUCAGUGACUUUGGUUUAUCGAGGAGAGAGAUAGUUUUAUGGCAAGUUGCGUGCAUAGCGUUAAUUUGGGUUGUGUGGCGGGAGAGAAAUGCUAGGAUUUUUUAGGAUAAAGCAAGGAAUCCAGAGAGUCUUUGGGAUUCUAUUUUUUUCCUUGCUUCUCUUUGGGCUUUUUGUUCCAAGGUUUUCAAGGGAAUCCCCCUUAUUGUGUUACAACUUGAUUGGUUAGCGGUGUGUAGUUCCGAUGGGUUGGUUUAGCCUAGAGUAGUUGUUCGUUAUUACAGUGUAAUUUCUGAUUUUUGGUUUCUUGUAGACUAGUUGUCUUUGGUGGGAGGAUUCCUCAUCCUUCUCUUGUACUUCGUUUUUCUAUUAAUAUAUUACUUUGUCGUUUCCUAUCAAAAAAGUACUUUGGAGGCUUUAACAUACUUUUUUAUCAGCUCAUUGUAUUAUGAGAGGAUUGCUUAUCCUUUUUUUGUAUUUCUUUACCUUUAAUUUAAUACAUUUGUUGUUUUUCUAAUAAAAAAAAGAAAAAGAAAAAAGAUUUACUUAAGGGUUCUGUUGGGUAAUUGUUGUCAAAAAUAGUAUGAAAAACAUUUUUUGAAAACUAUUAUCUAAUCUUUUGUAGAACAAAUGUCUAUUAGGGAAUAAAUGUUUUUAACCUAUUUUUUAUAGCCUUCCACAACCUUACGUUAUAACCCUCCCUCACCUCUAAAGAACACCAACCCCCUUCUUCUACCCUAUACCUACCAAUGAUUACUUUCUUCCACAAGGGCUCCUAUUCUGAUGUGAACCUCCAACUCCGCUUUCCUAAGAGAGCCUUGUUCAAUACAGAAACAUUGCAAAUGCCCAACCCUCAAUCAACCUUUGGCUUCCAAACUUUGAGCCCACUCACUAAGUGAGGCUUAUUUUCAAAAGACCCCCCUUCCCACAACAUCUCUUAUGUUGUGGGCAAUGGAAGAAGGAUAAGAUUUUGUAAGGGCUUUUGGUGUGGGUACACCCGUUUAUGGACCUCUUUCCCGUCUUAGUUCACUAUAGCCACCUCAAAGGAUGCUUGGGAGUAGGUUUAUAACAAGGUAGUGUGGCAAUUUUUCAGUUAAAUCUUUCUAUGAUGGGAUGGUUCAAAGGGGUUCAGAAUCUUUCCCAACAACACUUAUUUGUUUUUGGGCUCGAAUAAAAGUGAGUUUUUUCAUUUGGGAAGCAACAUGGAAAGGGAUUCUAACUAUGGACAUCUUGAAGAGGAGAAGGUGUACAUUGGUGAACAUGUGUUUUAUAUGCAAAGGCAAGGAGGAAUCUUGCAAUCACAUCCUUCUUCAUUGUUGUGUUUGUUACAACAGUUGGUCUUCUCCUUGUUUGGAGUGGUUUGGGUGUUGCAUACCUCAGUCCAAACAACACUUCUUAGUUGGCAUAGCCACCCUAUUGGAAAGAGGAGAACGAAGGCGUGGAAUGUUGCUCCUCUUUGCUUGUUUUGGACUAUUCAAAAAGAGAGGAAUAGAAGGGUUUUAAAAUUGUUGAGCUUUUAGAUCAAGAGUUAAAGUUCUCUUUUCUAAGUAACUUUUUAGAAUUAACCGAAGGAGGUCUAAGGCUAGAGUCUUUCUUUAUGAUUGAUUUUAUCGAUUGGUUAGAUUGCUAAUAAGGGGAGGGAUUUCUUGUUUUUUCUUUGGAGCGCUCAUGUAUACUUCUUGUGUACUUUUACUUCUUGUUUCUAUCAAUAGAUAUCUUUGUCGUUUCCUAUCAAAAAAAAAAAAAAACUUCUUGUGUACUUGGUCUAGCAUUUUUUGGCUCUUUAAUCUAUAUUGCCUUUUUUUUAUCUUUUUUUUUUUUUGUACUUAUCAAAAAAAAAAAAAAACAAGCCUCUGAAAACAACUGAAAAUAAUUAAAAGAUGCUCUCUAUAAACAUUAUGCUUUUUGUUUUCUAGUUGUUAAACUUGUUCUCUUGGUUUUUUUUUUUUUUUUUGGAGAACAGAAAACUAUUUUAAAAAAUAGUUACCAAACAAGACCUAAAUCUCUAUGUUUUUAGUUUUCCCUCCAAGAACUCACAAUAACAGAGAAAUCAAUUCAAUUCUUCCUUUCAAUUUCCGUCAUUUUCUAUUGGAGUUCACAUAGGCUGUAAUUGAUUUGCACGUGUUGGCAGGCAGCUCUGUUACUGAAAGAUCAUUUUCCAAACCUUCUAGAACCUCCUUCAGAACUCUCUCACUGAAUUGAGACUUCAAAACACUUUGAUCAAUUGAAAUGCAUGUGAAACAUGGUUUUUAGACAUGCUUCCAACCAAAGACCAUGAAUCCCAAUCUCAACUUGCACAAUUCAGUUGGAGCAUUUAAGGGUGCCCCAGAUGACUCUAAAUGCCUUCCACUUCAAUCAGGCUUGCAGUCAAUUCCUUUCCUGUGUGUUUAGACCCAAUAAGUGAGCGUUUAAACGCAUACACUAACCAUUUAAAGAUUAUGUUCAAAUGUCACUUGUGUUGCUAACUCUGUUUAAACAUCCUUCUGGUGCAUCUACCAAAUGAAACAUUUAUUGACACUUGGCAUUAACAAAUUUUUCUUUAGCUCCAUUUAAAACUGCUUCGGUUGUGUUUAAUCAAACUAUAUUUGUGUUUACUCACACCUAUUUCUGAUUGAUUGCACAUAUAUGAAUUUGUGAUGUUUCUUCAUUUUGGGCUUCCAAAAUGUGAUCCUACCUUUCCAAAACUUUUGACACUUGAGAAGACUUUAUAUUUAAUAAUAUGUUCCCUACAACAAUACAAGCUUACAAAUAAUUUUUUGACUUAAAAUAUAUCAACAAAAACUAAGUAUGCUUUACAAUCUGCACAAUUACAUGUUUUCCUUCCAGUCUGACCACCACUUAUGUGGGAUAUUAUGAACUUUUCUUUUGAAAGUUCCUGUUUACACUGGUUUUUCAUCAAGCUAUUUGGUGAUAUUUCAUGUUAUAUCAUAAUGUUUUCCUUCCCAUGCUUGUUGAUUUUCACUUUGGCUCUGAAAUUUCUUUCUUAUGUAUGUAACCUUUACAGCAAGAAUUUUGCUUGAUCUCCCAAAUCUGUGCAGGUAUCUCCAGUGGUUGAUUGAAGAUCAAGAUUCUAAUGACACACAGUUCCAUACGUUAUAUGCUCUCUCACUUGCCAAAUCAGCUAUUGAAGCUUUCGAAACAGAAAGCAGCUUUCAGAACCCUGAUGCUGGAAGAUUAGAGGAGACGUGUUCUGCUGGUUCUGAAAGGAAUUCAAUUUUUCAGAGUCCUGUCAGAGAAAGGUUGCAGAUCUUUUUACAGUCUUCAGACUUGUAUGAUCCUGAAGAGGUCCUUGACUUGAUUGAAGGAUCUGAGUUAUGGCUGGAAAAGGUAUGUUGAAACUCACUUAUCUUAUUUCAUUAUAAUUAGCAAAAGAUACUGAUCAAAUGGCCACUCUUGAGGCCUUAGAUGGAUUAAUUAUUUGUGCCUUUCCUUGCUUUCAGAUGCAAGGAUGGGACUAUGUUCUUCUUUUUCUUUCUCUUUCUUUUUUGUCAUUUUUUUAAAAGAAAAUUCCAAAUGGUAGGUGUCAUGUACAUAUUACUAAUGCAAUUUCUGGCUUUUCCUGACAGGCUAUUCUGUACAGGAAACUAGGGCAGGAAACAUUGGUGCUCCAAAUUUUGGCCUUGUAAGUUCCAAAAUGCUUACUGAUGAAAUCUUAAUAAUUAGUCAUCACUUUGUGUGAACUGUGUCUGAGGAAGCUUGACCCUUGUCAUAUAUGGGACACAGCUGUACAACCCUAUGUAAAUUCUAUUUCAUUGUACCAUGACAAGGGCUUUGUGGUAGUUGCUCUUCUCCUUGUUUGGUGUUUCUUGACUUACCUCAAUCAAAGCGAGCCUUUUAAGUUGACAUGACUCAUUUUGUGGGAAAAGGAUGAAAAAAAAGGUUUGGAGAGCUGCCCCGUUAUGCAUUUUUUGGACAGUUCUGAAAGAGAGGAAUUGUAGAUCUGUUGAAAACAAGGAACAAUCAGUCAAUGCUCUAAAAGGCUGGUUCGUUGGUAAUUUUUUGUUGUGGGUAAAGAUGUACAUUGAUGAGAGUCCUGUCUUUAAUAGAUUUUUUUCUAUUGGCUUGGUUCUUGCUAAGGGAGCGUGUUUUUGUUCAUCCUUUAGCACUCAUUGCACAAGUCCUAUGUACCUUGGUGUGAUGUUUUUUGCUGCUUGUUUAUAUAUAUAUUAUUAUUAUGUAAUAUUAUCAAUACCUAUAAAAAAAAAUGAUAACAUUUAAUGCUUUGUCAGGAAGCUGGAAGACAGUGAAGCUGCUGAACAAUAUUGUGCAGAGAUUGGUAGACCAGAUGCCUAUAUGCAGUUGGUUCUUUUUCUUUAUUUUCAUCAAUUUUUGUUCCUUUGUUUUUCCACCUGAAGAUAGAAGUUGUAUUCUUAAUUAUGUUCUUGCCUUUUGUUCUGUUUGUUCUAUGAUCAUCCCAGGUUGCUUGAUAUGUAUUUGGAUCCCCAAGAUGGUAAGGAGCCUAUGUUUAAGGCUGCAGUUCGCCUUCUCCACAAUCAUGGUGAAUCACUGGACCCCCUGCAGGUUUUAGAGGUAUCAGGCUCUGUCUCACAUGCACACUUAGAAGCACCUUUUUUUAUCCACCUUUUUUCCAUACCUUGCCUAAGUUUAAGAAUUUUAUUGUAUAAGACAUCUGAAUAUUUGAAAACUUGCAAUCUGGCAUUUUGUGUGUGGGUGGGGGAGGCUUGUGGUAUGGGAAAGAGAGAGAGGGAAGGAAGGCUUAUAAAGGGUCUAUUUUGGAACUGUUUUCCAGUCUUGAAAACAUGUUUGACAAUUUGUUGACAGAAAACAGUUCUUUUGAAAAUUUGUUCUAAAAAUAGGGUGUUUUCUAAAAACAUAUUUUAAUUGUUUUUGCUUGUUUUCUACAGGCUAUUCUUAAAAAAUAAUUAUACAAAUAUAGAGAAUGAUUGAAAAUAAAACAUUUUAGAUAAAAUUUCCUUUACAAUGAACUUUUCCCUUUCCUACUUAUUUUUUCAAUAAUCAAUAAGCAAUUGAAAAUAUUUAAUUACCUUGUUGGGUUCAUACUUGAUCUUUGCUAUAUAGAAAACACAUUUGGCAAUUUGUUGAUAGAAAACAGUUUUUUUUUAAAACUUGUUCUGAAAACCGGGUGUUUUAUGAAAACAUAUUUUAAUUAUUUUCACUUGUUUUCUGCAGGCUAUAUUUAAAAAAUAGUUAUACAAACAUAGAGAAUGAUUGGAAAAAAACAUUACGGAUAAAACUUAUUUUUAAGAAAUAUUUGGCAAUACAUAAAACACGUUGAGAACAUUACAAGCUACCCAACAAACUUUUGUUUCAAAAAACAUCAAAGACGUGUUUUAAAGAAUUAUUCUCAAAAAUUGUUUUUUGAGAACUAUCUUAAAAAACAUUCCCAAACAGGCUGAAAAUUUCCUUUACAAGGAAUAUUUCUCUUUCCUUCUUUAUUUUUUCAAUAAUCAAUAAUCAGUAAACAAUUGAAAAUAUUUAAUUAACUUGCUGGGUUCAUACUUGAUCUUGCUAUAAUUAGAUAGAAACUCCAUCCCAUCAUGUGGCAAGGCAAGCUCACCUUAUUAUGCUGGAAUAGUGAAGUUGAUUGUUCCUUUAUUAUAUUGAUUUUGUUUUCUGUUCCAGACAUUAUCUCCAGAUAUGCCUCUCCAACUUGCUUCAGAUACUAUAUUAAGAAUGUUGAGAGCUCGGCUCCAUCAUCAUCGUCAAGGACAGGUAUGUUUACUGUUGAACCUUGUUUGGUUGUCAUUAUUUUGAUUCUAAGGAAGCCUAUAAAAUAAAAUAAAAUAAAAAAUUAAUAGAUAAGUCAUUUGGAUUUAAGUAUUUCCAUAAAUAUCUGUGUCCUAUGUAAUUCUUUAAGUUUUGUGCCCACAUUCCUCCAAAUUAUAAUUGCAGUAGUCGCUAAGUCAGUCUUGAAGCUCUUACAUGAUUUUAAUCAAACCUAACGACGACUCUACUAGCAUGUGAAGUUAAUGAUAUAGAUCCUGUUAUGUGUUAUUGCAUCCUGUAAGGCAAUUAUUGUUUAUUUUCAUGUCAUUUCCAGUUUUCUUCCCCUUCCUUAGAACAUUUAACUCUUAUUGAGGCACAUCUUCCCCAGGGUGAUGGAAGCUGGGUUCAUUGUUUUCCCCCUUUAUUUUAUCAGCUUCGUGCCAUCGUUUCUGGUAUUUUUGUGAAUAUAAUGAUUUCUAAUUCUUUUUCUCCUUUUUUUAAGCCAUUAGUUCAUUCAUUUCUGCAUCCUCAUCUAUUCUAUGAUGGAAAAGGGGGACAAAAAUUACACUGGGAACGUCCCAGAUAUUUCUUCAGUUUUAACAGUCAUUCUGUAGUUAUCUUCAUAAUUUACAUUGUUUUUUACUUGUUUUUAGAACCAAAGAAUUCCAAUCCGCCUGGAAACAACCCAGUUCCUGCUCUCUAAUCUCACUUUUUAAUAGGCAUAUCAAUGACACAAUUAACACUAUCUAGCUCUUUGUUUCAUGGCAGAACAAUUGACCAGAGGUGUAUGUCCUGUUAUGAUUCUUAUAUUGAUUUUGAAGAGAAGUUGAUGGAUACUGCUGGGAUGGACUUGUCCAUCGAUAUGUUGAUGGAGGGGAAUUAGCUAGAUUGUGGACACUCUCCUUCCUUACUCUAUAUAAAAAGUGAUUGUGUUCACUAAUUGCAAGUUUGACACUCUUACCCACCCUAUCCCUUCCUACAUGAAAUUAAUCCUAAUCCCUACAGAUCAUUCUGCGUAGGAUAUCAGUCACUAUAAUGAAAAAAAGGAGCAAGAGAGGGUCAUCAUGUUGUUGGAUGCAUCUAGAAGCCUUAAUCAUUCGCUAUUCCUUUUAAUGAGCAUGUGAGGUGCUCACCAAUGCUACAUUUGCCUAAAUCCAUCUCUACAUAAACCAAACCCUUUCUAUGGAGAGCAUGAUCCAAAAAAUCUCAAGUCACGCGAUCAUAAGCCUCUCCUUCUGUUAGAUCUCCAUUUAUCAUCCUUGUUUCUGUUUUCCAUGAAUGAUCAAGAAUUUUGCUUCCCUCGAUAAAGUUUUUCUGAGAAUGGGAUAGUCUCAUGGGCACUUGAUGAAGAAGCUUUAACAUAGACUUUGCUAGGAAUCUUAUAGAGGCUAGCAACUCAACUACCAUGCCUAAACUCCUUGAACCCUAUGGAUCAAUCUUAGGGGACAUGGGUGAUAAAAGUCACACUGUAACUCCGAUUUAUGAUAAUACUAAGAGGAGAAUUCCUCAAGUACACAGCAAAACACCCUCUUUCAACAACAAUUAUGAUAGAAUGCUAUAGUGAAACCCAAACAUUACCUUUAGAAUGCUUAUGAUAUUUGAAAUGUGACAUAAUAAUAUUCAGUUAUUUUUAGGUCUCGAUAAAAGCACAAAUGGAAUUAAAUAUGAUAUCAGAUUAUUGAUUUCCAUUUCAACACCCAACAUGUUCUAGCUAUUUGGGUUCGCCUUCAAGAAUUCCAAUUUUUACCAUGCCACUCUUUGGAUCUACCAUUAAAUCAUUGUUGCAGCAUUGAACCACUUUUGUUGGCUUAGCACCUUUUAUGUUGAAUCAUCUCUAUUUCCUUUUCAGAUUGUGCAUAACCUAUCCCGUGCUGUAGACGUUGAUGCAAGAUUAGCAAGAUUGGAAGAAAGAACAAGGCAUGUGCAGAUCAAUGAUGAGAGCUUAUGUGAUUCUUGUCAUGCUCGCCUUGGAACAAAGCUAUUUGCAAUGUAUCCAGACGAUAGUAUUGUCUGUUACAAGGUGGAUAAAUUAUCUUUUUGUCUGUUCCAAGCUAUUCAUGAUUUAUCCAGAUGAGUUGUGAAGGUUGGUGAUGUUGGUCCCUCCUUUUGUCUGUAGAGACCAAGGAAUUCUCUAAAUCUUUAAGAGCACCACCUCCACACCUCAUCCUCUAAAAAGUUUCUUUUCAAAUUUUAAGGUCAGCAGAAACAGGGUUUCCACUUUAACUUCACCAUUGAGCAGCUGAUACCAGAAAAAGGAAUUUUUAUUUUUUUUUAUAAAAAAAAAAAAAAUGAAGUGGCAGGCAUCCACAAGUAGGGAGGAUACAUCUUAAUUGAUCAUGGUUAAGAUCGAAUUGUCUAAAACCUAGUUUCUUCCUUCUGCAGUGUUUCCGUCGUCAAGGUGAAUCCACUUCUGUCACAGGUGUUGACUUCAAACGAGAUAUCUUAUUUAAACCAGGUUGGCUUGUGACCCGAUAACUAUGGAGGAAGAAGAACCAUUUUGGAAGUUAAGACCAAGCUACCAUGUGUUUGCUCUUUACAGCUCUACCUUCCUGCUCUGGAUCGGGUACCAUUUCAUCUUCAUCUUGACAAAGAAUUGCUCACAGUGACUUAACUUAUUUUUAAAGAGAGAUGUCAAACCAGGAAAUUUGAUUUUCAACAAGGUUCUACUGUGCUCCUAUCGUCAGGUACAAGCUUGGUUGAGUAUUUAACAAAAGAAUCCAUGUAUAGAGCAUGCCAUCUUGAUGGUCCCACUAUUAUUUCUUUUCAGUUAUGAAUUUGUAAAGGAUCCAAUUGUUUUGCUGACACAUGCUUGAUUGAAACAGCCGGUUUGUUGUAUAAACAUCUAUAGGUAACUAACUAUCUGGCCACAAUGGGCCUCUUUUGUUCAAGUUUAUUAUGUUUUGAAAAAAGGAGGGGAAAAAAUGGAGUUUAAGGUUCCUACUGAGUAUAUGCUGAGGUGAGGAGCUUGAUGUAUGCUUGGUUUUACAUGUAAAACAUAAGAUGGGUACCUAAGGAGAUAGAAAUCAACCCCUUCCCUUAUCAUACAGGUAGUGAGGAUGAUGAUUCAUGGAGGAUGGCAGAUUUUGUGGAAUGGGCUUCAAACUUAAACAUUCCUGAGUAGGAGUUUUGAGGGGAGUGAAAUGGGCUUUAAAUUGAAUUAAAAUUAGUUAGAAAUUUAUGAAUUUUAAAAUUAUUUAAAUUUUAUAUGGAAUAGAAAAAUAGGUUAAAUGAGCUUAGAAAAACACAAAUAAUUUAUUAAUUUUCAGUGAAUUUUUUUUGUUAACCUUUUUUUUUUUUUUUUGGGUUCCCUUCUUUAUUAUCUUUUCUUUCCAUUUUCCUUAAAGCCAAACAAAGGUGGUGUCUAUGAAAGUCCUCUGUGAGGCCUUUCCUUUCUCCGAAGUGUUUUCCCUGAGCUCUCAGCAAGUUUCUUUGCCAAUUGAUGGAGAUUAUAUUGGUACACUUUAACUUCAUUCCUUUUUAAUGCGAUUGUAUGAUAUUAAAUUUUGAUGAUGCAAAAAGAAACUUUGAGAUGUUAGAAAGAAGGAAGAGUGGUACCUUAGAGAGCAAAAAUUUUGAGAAAUUUGGGUAUUGUACAUAUAAUAGAGGAACGAAGUAGAAUGUCUUCAGCAUUGCCUAAAAAUAAAUAAGGCAUCAUUUAUGAACUGAAAUCAUUUUUUUUUUUUUUUGGGUGGAGAUUUUAGACUUUUUUCAAGUGUUCAAAAUUUUUACUCAUGCCUUUUUGUUUUCAAUAAUGUUUUGUAAAUAUAAAAAGUGAUUUUUGUUGUAAAAGUAAAGAACAUUGGGAUACAAUUUGAGAUAAUAAAUUUUAAAAAAGUGAAUUUUGAAGCUAUCUAUUUUUCAUAACUUUAAUCCCUAUGGUUACAAUCAUAAUGAUUACAAUAAAUACUUUUACAAUAAAUGUGCAAGUUAUAGAGAUACUUGAAAGAUUAUGUCUGAAAUUUCUUGAAUCCUUGCAUGCCAAUAUUAUGUAUGAGCUUCUUGAAUGUUAUAUUAUACAAAGCUUGUUGUGAUGAAAUGUGUUUGAUUUGAUUAUCCUUAAUCUAUUCUUCUUUGAUUUGAACAAUACAUGUAACAAUAUCAUCAUGCAAUAUUAUUUAUUUGUCUUUGAUAGAAGAUAAGUCAUGGACUCUUGAAUAUGUUGGAUCAUAAAUCAGUUAUAUACAUUUACGACCUGCUUCAUAAAUUGCGAGUAAUUCUAAUUUGAGGAGGUGAAUACUAUUAUUUGCUUAAUCAAAUUUUCAUGAUAUAUAGAAUAUGUUUGAUCAUUUUCCAAUGUUUUCAAAUUGGGGCAAAACCAUAUCUUACUAGCAAAUUGAGAAAGAAUGUUAUGUCUAAUCAUGUACAAUUUGCAAGAUAAAUUAAUGUGACAAUUACAUUAAGUUCUUGUACUUUUGGACCACACAGUUCUUUAUUUUCUUUCUUGAAAUGAAAUAUAUCGCCAUUCACUUCAAGUGAACAAACAACCAUAGGGAAGCUAAGUAGGUGUGAUUUGUGGAUAUGCAAGUGUUUCAAGACUUUUUCUAGGUAUAUCAUCUAAUAGACUAACACCUCACUUGGAAAAAUACUUGAUCUACAAGAUGAGCCAAAAUUUUAUUUUCCAUGAUCUUCCUUUCACAUCAUUUCUUGAGAUAAUUAACUAGUCUUAUGAGCUAUUCAAGAGUUCCAAAAAGAUUACAACAAUUACAAACCCCACUUUAAUCCAUAGAAAGAUAUAAUUUGAUUAAGUAUAUUAUCAUUAUUGCUUAAUCUAAAAUAUGAAAUGAGAUUUUCAAUCAUUGAUAUGCAUUUUUAAUUCUUCAAAGAUUUUAACAUACCUAUGGAUCCACAUAAAGAUUUGUAGCUAACAUAUAAACCAAGUCCUUUAGAAACUGUUGAUUGUAUAAUUAAAUCAUUACAAGAGUUGAUAUAAAUCAAGUCAUUCAAAGACUGUUGAUUGUAUAAUUAAAUCAUUAUAAGAGUUAAUACAACAUCUCAAUAGGAAAUCUUAUGAUAUAAUUUUUUAUUAUCUAAAAUUAUACUUUUUAUAUAAUAACUCAUUAAUAUCCAACAAUCUGUAUGUCUUAAUAACCCAUUAAUAUCCAACAACUUUUAUGUCUUCAAGUGUUAAGACUCUAAGUCCAUUUAUAAUAAGCUUUACAUUUUUAAGCAUUUGAACUACAAGUCCAAAUAUUUCUCAUUGUAACGAGCUUUAGAUAUACUUGUUUUAUUUCUUUCUAUUUUUGUCAAUCAUUUCUAUGUAAAUAUUCUUCUACAUUUUGUAGUUCAAAUUUUCAUCAUUUUGUAUGAUAUCAAUAUUGGAAUAUCUGGAUUACUCUCUAGAUUAUUGGGGUGCAUGCAAAACUAUCCUAGGGAUUUCUAAAUCUACACAAUGGAAGCUAUAACAAAUAAAUCUAGGUGUAUAAAAAACCCACAUGUUCUUGAGUCACUUAAUUUAACCUAAAUUGAGUCCUAAUUGAUUAAUUAACUCAACAAGGCUAUUAAUUAAUCAAUUAGCCCAAUUCAAAGACCUUGUUCACUUACCCUUGUGCAACCUUGCAUAAUCACCAAAGACCCUUAUGUAAAAAAGUGAACCUAGGGUCAAUCUGACCUCCCUCAUAACUCAUGCCAAUAAGGUAUAUGAGCUCAAAGCGGGGACCACUAUGACCCAUAGAAGUACUAUCUCCCUCAAAAUCUAAUUCUGAAGUUGAUUCAACAUCCCACUCAAAGAAUCAACUAAACUCUAUUAUCUUAUGUAAAUAAUAAUGAGACACUAUGUGUUCGAGUCCAUGACUUGCUUUCCAUUGUACUUAAUUUCCCCAUGAAUUGGUAUUUGUAGUCUAAUAAGGUGAAAGUUAUCAACUUUUCAAAACUACCUCUACUAUCAUUGAGCACAAAUCUUCAUAUUGUGUGUUCAAUUGACAUGUCUUAGCUCUCAAAGAGCCUACGUUAAGUUUCAUUUAAGGAACUAUUAUGAUCAUAAUUUCCAUAAACACGCCUCCUUAGGAUCACCCAACGGGACGCUCUGUCUUAAUCUCAUGAGAUAUCAGGCUGUCUCUAUUCAGAAUACCUAUUGCUACUGACUUCCAUCAACAGUGACUUAAUUUAUAAGGAAUAUAUAAUUAGCUUUCAAUCUCACUUGUAGGUCAAAGACACUAGUAACUUUAGCACAACCUUAGUAUUCUCUUAAAGUUGAGAGACAACAUAAUGAAGCAGUUUGGUGAGGUCAUGACUACUUGAUAGCCUUAAGUCAUGACUCACUAUAGGUCUUGUCCAAUGUGUAACCAUACACAUUAGUGCACUCAUCAUGAGAAACUCAUCUCGAAAGCCAAGACCAGUCAUCCCUCCAAUUAGGAGGUGGUGCAUCACAACUUCUAAUGAGUUGCUUAAACCCAUGAACCGACUGUGAACAAGUCAUCUAUUUGCAAUGAACCCAUGAUUUGGAUCUUUCAUGCAACUCCUAAUACACCUAAGUCACAUAUAAUGCAAAAGAUGCAGGCAAAAAUGCUCAUAAAGUGUAAUACAUUUAAUAUGGAUAGUUAAAAGUGAAAUUGGAAUAUGAUUAAAUAAUGAAUUCCAAAUUUUGUUCAUUAUGUCAUGCUUUUAAGGGCUCUAUCUUAAUAUCAACCUCUUAAGAUUAUUUCUAUAAUCCUUGAGUUUUAGAUUCUCUUAUUAUGUGAUCAAUUGACAUACUCUAAUUCUCAAUGAGCAUAUGCCAAUUUCUGUAAAAGGAAUUAUUAUUGCCACAAAUGUUAUUAUCACAUGUGCUAGGAUAGAACCCUUAAAAGUAUGACAUGAUAUAAUAAACUUUUGAAUUUUAUUAUUUAUUAAUAAAUUUUCAAUUUGCUUUUAUCUAUCCUAAUUCCAUGCAUUAUACUUUGCAAGCAUUCUAAGUUGCAUCUUUUGAAUUGUAUGUGACUUAGGUGUGUUAGGAGUUAUAUGAAAGAUCUAAGUCACGAGUUUUUUGUAAGUAGAUGAAUUGUUCACAACCGGUUCAUGGGCUAUUAGAGGCUAUAGGGAUGAUUGGUCUUGGUCAUCAAGAUAGGUUUCCAUGGUGAGUGCACUAGUGUGUAUGGUUACACAUUUGAUAAGACCUAUGGUGAGUCAUGACAUAAGACUAUCAAGUAAUCAUAACUUUACCCAACUAUUUCAUUGUGUUAUCUCUCAACAUUGAAACAAUAUUGAUCUUAUGUUAAUGUUAGAAAUGACUUUGACAUGCAUGUGAGAUUGUAAGAUGAUCAUAUAUUCCCUUUGGAUUGGGUCAUUAUUGAUGGAAGUCGAUAGCAAUAAAUAUUCUCAAUAGAGGCACCAUAAUAUCUCAUGGGAUUGAUAUAGAGUGUCCUAAUAGGUGAUCUUAAGAAGGUGUAUUCAUAUAAACUAUAGUCAUAGUAGUUCCUUAAAUGGAACUUGACAUAUAAUCUUAGAGAGCUAAGAUAUAUUAUUUGAACACACAAUAGGAGAAUUUGUAACUCAAGGAUAAUAGAGGUAAUCUUGAAAGACUAAUAACUUUCACCUUAGUAAGUUAUGAACACUAGUUCAUGGGGAGACUGAAUACAAUGGAUAAUAGAUCAUAUACCCAAGCACUUAGUGUCUCAUUGUUAUUUACAUAAGGUUUGGAGUGUGGUUGAUUAUCUAUAGUAAGAUAUUGAAUCCACUUUAAAAUUGGAUUAUAAGGGAACGAAUACUAUUUUACAGGUCCCAAUGGCCUUUGCUCAAGUUCAUAUACCUUGUUGGCACGGUUUCUAAGAGUUGAAUUGGCUCUAAGUUCAUUUUUUUUUUGUAUAAAUGUGUUUUGGUAAUUACAGAAGAUUGCACAGGGGUUAGUAAAUAAAGUCUUUAGAUUGAGUUAAUUGAUUAAUUAAAUAGUUUUUUGAGGUUAAUUAAUCAAUUAGGAUUCAUUUUAAGCUACAUUAAGUGACUCCAACUUUUAAUGGGCUCAAGUCACUUAAGCCUAGUUAGAGAUAUAAAUAUUUUUUUUAUUGAAAUUAUAGGGUUCUUAGGAGUUUGAAUUUAAAAUAAAACCAAAAGACAAUGCUUAAUUAAGUCCUAUUAUGUUGGGUUGUUUAGUUUGGAUAAGUCUUAGAUUUAUAAGAGUUUGAAUUUAAAAUAAAACUAGAAGAUAAGGCUUGACUGAAUCCUAUUAUUCUGGGUUGUUUAGUUUAGAUAAGUCAUAAUGUGUUUAAAUUUGGUUUUAUCUCUGGUUUGAAUUAGAGAGAAUAUCGAAUAAUUUUUUGUAGGUUGGUUAGUUGCUAAAUUCAGGGAUUGCUUCGUUUAUUUAAGUUUUGGAUGUAAACCAUUUUUUUUUUAAUAAAGUAUUAUUUAGUUUCUCUUCCAAAUUGAAUAUGGUAUCAAAGCCCACGAUCUAAACUUAAACAUGGUAAAACCUACAAUGACUGGCGAACGUUUAGCAAGCUCUUUGGAUGUGAUCUCCGAUUCUUCUCUUGUCAAUUCUAGUGGUAAUGGUGGUUCUAAAAUUUUCAUUCACCACAUUACUGUCCACAAAUUAAACGACAAGAAUUAUCUCCAAGGGUUUUGAUAAGUAAUGAUGUACAUAUGUAGGUGUGAAGACAACCCUGACGAAAAACAAUGCAUUUUACAAAGCCUGGUCUUUUGAGAACAAUACGAUUAUGUCUUGGCUUACUAAUUCCAUGGAUAUGGAUGUAGGAUAGAAGUUCCUAUUCUACAAGACAAAAAAAAAUAUCGGGGACAUAGCUAAGGAGAUUUUUUUAGAUAGUGAAAAUACAACAGAGGUGUUUGAACUCAAAAUCCAACUUCUAGAAUUAUGAUAAGGGGACCUCAGCGUGACCCAAUACUUUAGCGUUCUCUCCCGAUAUUGGUAAAAAACUAGACAUGUUAGAAGAAUUGGAAUGGGAUUGCGCUAAUGACAACAUCAAAUAUCAUAAAAUUAUGGGGAAAAAAAAUCUUCACAUUCUUGGCAGGAUGAAGUUUGAGCAAGGAUUCUUAGCACCAAGCCACUCCCAUUACUCCGAAAUGCGUGUUUUGAAGUAUGGUGAGAAGAGAUUCGAAACAAGGUCAUGAUGAAGGAUCACACCUCAUCACAUUUAUUUUCGUGUAACAACGAAUCAGCCUUGGCUACCAAAGGACCGAAUUCUCAACACUUUGAUUCACAAGGAUAUCCAACAGGUCGUGGUGUGAUCACUAUAAUCGAGUUGAUCACACUCAAGAAACCUAUUGGAAAAUUCAUGGGAAACUACCCAAUUGGAAAAGUAACAUAACAUAGGUAAAUGAACCUUAAGGUUAUCGUGCCACCAAUGAUGAACCACCACAGUCCAAUAACUCAUCCAACAAAACACCUUUCAACAGAGAAUAGAUGAAGCUAUUUCAGAAACUCCUCACACAUGAUCCUUUGAGUACCUCCACUAUAGGAUCAAGUUCCAUUGCCCAGAAAAGUAUAUGUUCCAGAGCCUUGAAUGUUUUUUCAAAGUCAAACCCAUGGAUUAUUGACUUUGGCGCAUCCGAUCACAUGAUCAAUGAUAUAACUCUCUUUCACUCUUAUCAACCAUGUUCUGAGAGUUAUAAAAUUAAAAUAGUCGAUGGCUCUUUCUCAGUGGUGGCCGAUCAAGGGAGUGUCAUUCUUCCGAAUAGCUUUAGAUUGCUCUUUAUUCUUCAUGUUCCCAAGCUUAUGUGUAAACUUACUCUCUACAAGAAAAGUCACUAAAGAUCUUAAUUGUGUUACUAAAUUCUUUCCUAAUCAUUAUGAAUUUCAAGAAAUUGAGACAAGGAAGAUAAUUGGUUGUGCCUAGAACAUGAGAGUUUAUAUAUCUUUGGCAAUAACGUUUCAAAAGGACACACUCAAAAAGCAAGUUGCAAUGUUCUUUCAUCUCUUGCAAAUUCCAUUGAUCAUGAAAUAAUGGUUUGACACUUUAGGCUAGGCCACCCAAGCUUUCCAUAUUUGAAAAAGUUGCUUCCACCGUUAUUCAGAAAUAAAAACUUAAGAGUCAUUUCAUCGUGAGUUUUUUCAAGUGUCUAAACAUUGUUGAAAUUCUUAUGUUUCACAACCUUAUAAAAAAUCUCAUCAUUUUUGCUCAUAAAUAGUGAUUUAUGGGGACCAUCCAAUAUUAGCAACGUAACAAACUCUAAGUGGUCCAUUUCAUUUAUUGACAAUCAUACACGAAUAUGUUGGGUGUAUUUGUUGAAAGAAAAAUCUGAAGCAAAAAAUAUUUUAAAAAAUUUAAUGUCAUAAUUAACACUCAAUUUCAAACCAAAAUCCAAAAUUUUUGCGUUAACAAUGGUACUGAAUACUUUAAUUCAAUCCCUAGACCCUAUCUUCGUGAACAUGACAUCAUUCAUCAAAGCUCAUGCAUUGCUACACUACAACAAAAUGGAAUUUUUGAAAGAAAAAAUUGUCAUUUGGUAGAAAUUGUUUGAUUCCUUAUGUUCACGACAAAUGUUCUUAAAUAUUUUUUAGGGGAAGUCAUUCUCAUUGCAUCAUACUUGAUAAACCGAAUGCCCACUGGAGUAUUAUAGUACCAAACUCCCAUUGAAGUUCUAAAAAAUUGUUACCUUAACAUUCGACUAGUGUCAUCAUUUCCACCAAAAAAAAAAAAUUGUUGUAGCGUUUUUGUCAACACUCAUGAUCAAAGCAGAACGAAACUAGAUCCAAGAGCCCUCAAAUGUCUUUUCUUGGGAUAUUCUUUAACCUAAAAAGCUUAUAAAUUUUACUCACCAAUCAUAAAAAAAGUUUUAUGUUUACAUGGAUGUAACAUUCCUUGAGCAUCAAGCCCAUUUUCCUAAAACUCAACUAUAGAGGAAGAUUUCAAGGAAUUCCAACUCAAAUCAAUUUUGGGAUAUUACUCUUCUAGCUAAUAUUGAUAUUGUUCUCCCAACCCUAGUUUUCAAAUCUGUCAUCUCAAUAGUCCCUACAACAACAUGUAAUUCUAGCCCUAAAACCAUUGUUGUUCCCUUCAAACUAGAUUCUACACCCAAUAUUCCAACAUAUUCAAUCCCAAAACUAGAUUCUUCACCCAAUUUUCCAAUAGAUUCGACCCUAAAAUCGUAUUCUACAUGCAAUCUUCAAGCAAAUUUGACCUUAAAGCUUCAGGUUUAUUCCAGAAGAAAAGUUGUCAGGGAUAUACAAAUUCUCAUGCCCUCGGCUCAUGACUAGAUAACUGAACCUAAUCCAAAUACUCAUGACCAAAAUUCUGGUAACACGGUAACUGAUACUAAUUUGACUGUAUUAAAUGAUUUGGAUGUUCCUAUCGCAUUUCGAAAAGGGGUUAGAUCAUGUAUUACACAUCUCAUUGUUGAUUUUGCUUCAUACUAAAGAUUAUCUCCAUGGUUUUGAGCAUUUAUUGCUAAUAUUUAUAAAGUUGAUAUACCUAGGGACAUUCAUGAGCCAUUACAACAUCCAAAUUGGAAGGAAAUUGUGCAUGAGAAGAUUAAAGCUCUUGAAACAAAUGGAACUUGGGAAUUAAUCGAAUUGCCUUUAGGAAAAUCUACUAUCAGAUGCAAAUGGAUUUUCAAUGUGAAGUAUAAAGUUGAUGGGAACAUUGACAGAUAUAAGGCAAGAUUGGUGGCUAAGGGAUUUAUGCAAACAUAUGGAGUAGAUUAUCAGGGAAAAUUUGCUCAAUUGCGAAAUUCAACACUAUUCGAGUUCUACUCUCAAUUGCAAUCAACAAUGAUUAGCCUUUUCAUAAGGUAGACAUAAAAAAUGCAUUCCUAAAUGGUGAUCUCAUUGAAGAAGUCUUCAUGGAUAUUCCAUAAGAAUUCAAAGAUGUUGAAAAAAAAAAAAAACCAAGUGUGUAGGUUACAUAAAUCUUUGUAUGACCUAAAGCAAUCACUUAGGGCCUAGUUUGACCAUUUUACUUCAAUUAUUAAGAAAGUUGGGAACAAUCAAGGAUAAUCGAAUCAUACGAUGUUUUUCAAACAUUCAUUAUAUGAGAAGAUAAAUAUUCUUAUCAUUUAUGUGGAUGACAUAAUUCUGAUGAUGAAAUGGAAAUGAUAAAUCUAAAAAACACUCUAUCUCGGGAAUUCAAAAUCAAGGACUUGGAAGAGAGCUCUUAGGUAUUUCCUUGGCAUGGAGGUGGCUCAAACAUCAAGUGGAAUAUUAGUUUCUCAAUGGAAAUAUGUCCUCGAUCUUCUGGAGAAAACUAGUAUGCCCGAAUGUAGACCAACAGACACACUUAUGGAGUAGAAUGGAAAGCUUAGCAACAAAGAAGAAAACCCUUCGGUUAACAAAGGUCAAUACCAAAUACUUGUUGAGAAGCUGAUCCAUUUAUCCCAUAGUAGGCCAGAUGUGGUCUUUCCUAUUAGUGUGGUUAGUUAGUUCAUGCACGCUCCCACUGAAAAAAUCUUAGUGUAGUUCACAAAAUUCUCUUAUACUUGAAAAUGACACCGAGAAAGGGUUUUUUUUUUUUUUUUUUGCAAAAAUAUCAGAUGAGGAAUUAAAGUAUAUUUUGAUGCAAAUUGGCUAGGUUUCAUGAAUGAUACAAGAUCCACCUAGGCUAUUAUACCUACAUAUGGGGUAAUUUGGUUACUUGGAGAAGUAAGAAGCAGUCCAUAGUGGCUUGAAGUAGUGCGGAAGCUAUGUUCCAGGCUAUUGCACUUGGUGUAUGUGAAGGACCAUGGCUAAAACGUGUGAUGGAGGAGUUGAAGAUUUCAACCGAGCUUUUGAUGAAAAUUAUUUGUGAUAAUCAAGUAGCCAUCAACAUCUCCUAUAAUUUGGUUCAUCAUUAUGGAACCAAGAAUGUGGAAAUAGAUCGACAUUUCAUUAAGGAGAAAGUUGAGAAUUGGGAGUUUUUACUGUAGUACAUGCCUACCAAGCUUCAAACUAUAAACAUUCUUACAAAAGCUUUACCAAAACAACAUUUCGAUCUUUUAUAAACAAAUUGGGAAUGAUCAAUUGUUAGGAUAGAGCCUUUAAAAGCAUAACAUGAUGUAAUAAAUUUGGAAUUCGUUAUUUAUUUAAUGAUGUUCCAAUUUCAUUUUUAUCCAUCCUUAUUCCAUGUAUUAUACUUUAUAAACAUUUUUGUCUACAUCUUUUGCAUUGUACGUGACUUAGGUGCAUUAGGAGUUGCAUAGAAGAUCUAAGUCAGGGGUUUCUUGCAAAUAGAUGACUUGUUCACAACCAAUUCAUGGGUUUAGGCAACCCAUUAGAGGUUGUAGUGUACUAUCUCCUAAUUGGAGGGAUGAUUGGUCUUGGCUAUCGGGAUAUGUUUCUCAUGGUGAGUGCACUAGUGUGUAUGGUUACACAUUGGACAGAACCUAUGGUGAGUCAUGACUUAAGGUUGUCAAGUAGUCAUGACCUCACCAAGCUGCUUUAUUGUGUUGUCUCUCAACCUUGAGAGAAUAUUGAGUUUGUCUUAAAGUUAGCAGUGGUUUUAACCUACGAGUGAGAUCGCAAGCUGAUCAUAUAUUCCCUAUUGAUUGGGUCACUAUUGAUGGCAGUCGGUAGCAAUAGGUAUUCUCAAUAGAGACACCAUGAUCUCAUGGGAUUGAGACAUUGUAUCAUCUUGGGUGAUCCUAAGGAGGUGUAUUUAUGGAAAUUAUGGUCAUAAUAGUUCCAUAAGUGGAACUCAACAUAGGCUUUUUAAGAGUUAAGACAUGUCAAUUGAAUAUAUAAUAGGAGGAUCUAUAACUCAAGGAUAAUAAAGGUAGUCUUGAAAGGCUGAUACCUUUCACCUUAUUAGAUUAUGGACACUAGUUCAUGAAGAGAAUAAACACAAUGAAUAGCAGGUCACGAAUCUGAGCACGUAGUGUCUUAUUGUUAUUUACAUAGGAUACUAAGUUUAGUUGAUUCUCUGUAGUAGGAUGUUGAAUCAACUUUAGAAUUGGAUUAUGAGGUAGUCAAUACUCCUAUUGGUCCCAAUAGUCCCCAUUUUGAGCUUAUAUACCUUGUUGGCGUGCAUUAUGAGAGUCAAUUUAGCUCUAGGUUCACUUAUGUGCAUAAAAGCGCUUUGAUAAUUAUGUAAGGUUGCACAGAGGUAAGUGAACAAGGUCUAUGGAUUGAGCUAAUUGAUUAACUAGUAGACCAUAUUGGGUUAAUUAAUAAAUUAAAACCCAUUUUGGGUUAAAUUAAAUGACUCAAGCCCAUGUGGGCUCAAGUCACUUAAGUCUAAUUAGGAACUCUAUAAAUAUUCCCUACGGGUUAGGGUUUUCAUAACUUUUCUCUUCCACCAUCCAGAGAGAAAGAGAGUCAUAGUCUUCAUCCUCCUUUCUUCCUCACCAAAAGUGUGUUAAGAACAAGGUUGAGUCAUUGAGCGGAAGAUCAUGGGUCUACAAGACUUCCAACAACUUGAAAAUCAUCUUCAACAAUUGGAAUUUAAGGUUUGAGAACAUCCAAACCUAAAGGUUAGAUCUUUAACCCUAAAAAAUCAAUUUUAAAAAAAUGGUUAUUGCUUCCAUUACUUAGAUCUAAGAUGACAACAUCAAUAUCUAUUCCUCAGUUUGAAGAGGGUGUGUUGAAACCGUAUGAUUUUUAGGAGUUUAAAUCUAAAAUAAAACUAGAAGAUGAGGCUUGAUUGAGUCUUAUUAUGCUAGGUUUUUUAGUUUGGAUAAGUCCUAGAUUUAUAGGAGUUUGAAUUUAAAAUAAAACCAGAAGAUAAGGUUUGAUUGAAUCCUGUUAUUUUAGGUUAUUUAGUUUAGAUAAGUCUUAAUGUGUUUAAAUUUGGUUUUAUCUCUAGUUUGAAUUAGAAAGAAUAUAUCAUAUAAUAUUUUGUAAGUUGGUUAGUUGCUAAAUUCAGGGAUUGCUUUGUUUAUAUAAGUUUUGGAUGUAAGCCAUUUUUUUUUUAAAUAAAGUAUUAUUCAAUUUCUCUUCCAAAUUCAAUAAAUACCCCUUAGGGGUUAGGGUUUCCAUCACUUUUUGAAAUGAGUUGUUUUCCACCAUCUACAGAGAGAGAAAAUCAUAGUCUCCACAUUCCUUUCCUACUACUUGUGUGUUAAGGUUAAGGAAGAUCUUGGAUACUUGAGACCUCUGAAAAUUUCGAACUUCAUCUUCACGGCAUGAAAUAGAUUUGGGAACAUCCAAAUGUAAAGUAAUGUUUUUUAUUGCACAUUCUAAAUCCUAUUAUUGUUUUAGAAAUGCUAUUUUUCUAUGCAUAGGAUUUAAAAAAGCCUAUGAAGUCUUGCAUGCACCUAACUUGAUUUUGAGACAGGAAACCAAGAUAUUCGGGUAUCCCUACAACAUGUCCUUAGAAUCCCACAAUAGGACACAACCUCAAACCCAUAAGAUAUCAUCAUGCAUAUCUUAUGUAUACUUAUUACCACCUGUAGGGAAUAUUUUGAUUACUCCAUUCUUGUCCUUAGACUAGUUAGAGUGCAUGUUAUUCUUUUUAAGCCUCUAGAUCCUAGUAAUAAAAUCAUAUAUGCAUAUUAAAAACUUUGGAUCUAGAAGAGAAAUGCUUACCUUGAAUAUGGAUGUUUCCAAAUUAGAUCCUAUUAGUGAAAAGUUAUUAAAAAAUGCUAUAGAUGGUAUAGAUCUCACAGACCAAACGAUUUUAUACUACGAUGACUCAUUCUUGAAUCCAAGCACAAAGAUGGUAGAGAUCUCACAAUAGUGGUGGUUAGAGUUUUUUCUCUCUCUUUAAAAUAAAUAGGAAGUAAGAUUGAUGCCUUUACCCCUAAGGGGGUUUAAAUAAGCUUAACCCCUCUUGGGCUUAGAUCACUUAAACUAAUCCACUUGGGUCUUAAUUGAUUUAUUAACCCAAUUGAACUCAAUUAAUCAAUUAACUUAGUCCAAAAAGAAUAUUCACAAGUUCUUAUACAACCUUGCAUAGUUACCAAAACCAAAACACCCUUUGUUAUUAUAGAAACUACUUGUCCUAUCAUGAUAUUAUCUUUUGUUAUAACUAUUCUACCACACUUCGAACACAUUUUUAUCUUGAUGUUAGUUAAUUGUCCUUCAAGGACAUCAAUUUAUGAUAUUUGCUUAUAUGUACAAAUUUUCAAGAAAUUUUACCUUGUACAACUUAUUAGACAAACAUCUUAGAAUAUACUUAUUAAGUAAUUGAUGUUAUGUAUAGAUAAAACAAAGAUACAUAUUAGCAAAUACAACAUAUACUAUGUUAAAUAAAAUGACAUAAUAUAAGAAAGUAAAUAUUCUAGGUGAUAAUUUAAGAAUAAACAUUAUUGAUCAAUUAGUCAAUUUUAUCAUUAAGAUUUUCAAAGAAAAUUGGAAUCAUCUAAGUGAGAUAUGUCAAUCUCAACUCUAUCGGUAAGGUCUUUCUCUAUCUUCAAUCCUUUUCUUUUAAUAACACUCGAUAAAAGUCAAACAAAUGUUUGAUUGUACUAUAUAUACUCAUCAAGUGUCAUUACAUGUGACACCUUUAACAAUCAUUUUUUUUAACGAUUUUUUGUGGGUUUAUUUUGCAAAUCGAACUUUCUUUAUCAUUUUAACUUAUCUUGGCAAGAUGUGGUUUUUUUUUUUAAAUAAAAAUAAAAAUAAAAAUAAAAAUGAUGACUGCUAUACAAUCAAGAGUUUAUUUAUAUGAUGAUUUAUAUAAUUAUAUUAUAUCUUGGUCCAUGAAACCAUUCCUAAUUUAUUACAUUUACUUCCGAGAAUGACUUUGAUCUAGUUGACUAAAACUAUGAUCUUUCAUAUAAAAGUUGUCAUUCUAAAAUAUUUUUAGUUAUAGUGAGCUGUGGGAAGGAUUGUAGUGUUUUAGUAGUUAUAUUUCCCUUGCAUGUAUGUUUCACUUUACGACUUAGGUUAUAAAUUUUCUAUAUAAAAACAUUGUUUGUAUGACUUAUGAACAUGAGAAAUUAUAAAAUUAACAUUUUUAUAUCACUCAUGAGAAAUCAUAUCAUAGUUAUUUUUUCUACAUAACUUUUAGUUAUAAUAAUAUAUAAAAUCCUUAAAUUCAUAUUCCAUAAAUUUUUCCCUUGUGAAAUACAAAUUUUAAAAUAUUUACACUAAUCUCCCUAUUUUUUAAGUGACAAAAAAUAAUUUUUGAGAAAGAGUAUUGCAUUUAUUCAUGGAUUCCUAUUCCAAUAUUUUCCCAUGUGAAAUACAAUUUUUAGUAACAUUUACACUAUUUUUUUUUUUUUUUACUAAUUUCCCCUAUUUUUCCUAAUGAAUAAUUUUAUAAUAAUAAAAGAAAAUUUUCCAUGGUUUCAAAUAAAGUUGUGCAAAAUUAAAAUUUGAGAAGUUUGUUUUGUAAAAAUUUUGGUUAUAAAAUAAAAUUAAUUAUUUGCAUGGCUUCCGUUAUAGAAUAGUUAAUGGAUAAUUUUGUUCUAUAUCAUUUCUAAUUACACAAUAAAAUUAGAAAUGUUUUAUGACUUCUAGUUAGGAGGCAAGUGUCAAUAAAAAUUAUCUUAAAAAUUUUCACUUAUGAGAUAAAGUAAAUAAAAAUUAUAAUAAAAAUAGAACAUGAUGAAAUACACUUUAAUUAAUUUUAUUUUUAUAAUUAAAAUUUGAACUUACUAGAGAGUAUUAGGGUGAAGAUUUGAUACCAAUUUUUUUAGUAGAAGGUAAAUAUCUAGAAAAUUUUUAAAUAUUUAUAUUUAGAAAUAAAUUAUAGUUAAAAAAUAGUCAUUACAUUUUUUAAAAUAAAAAUAAAAAUAAUUUUUUGUAUAGCUUUAACCAUUUAUAACUUAUGAAAUAAUACUAUAAAUAAGAAUUUAACCAUUUUAUUUAAAUAAUAGGGCUAUUUAAUUAAAAGAGCCAUUAAAAACCCAAUUUUAGAAAUCCAAUCCUUAAUUUUUUUUGGUCAUAUUUUGACAAAAAUGUCUUUAUUCUUUUUUUAUAAAAAUAAUAAUUUCUUUUAAAAUUUACAUAUAAAUACUUAAAAUAAUUAAGGACAUUUAUGUUAAAAAUAAGUUACUCUGAAAAUAAAAACACAGAAAUAUUAAAUUCAUAAAUAUGAGAAUUAUUUCAUCUUUUUAUUAAUCAAUUCUAAAUAAUAUGCUUUUAUGUCAACGAGUGUAUUUAUGAUGUUUACAUUUUUAAAAAAAUAUCAUUUAAUAAAUGUAAGGGCAAAUUUAUAAAAGAAAUUACCGUUUAAGGGCAAAUUUAUAAAAGAAAUUACCGUUGGACUUUAACAGUUUUUGUUAUCAAACAAUAAGAUUAAAUUCAAUGCUUAAAUAUAAAACAAUAUCAAACACUUUUUGCUUCCACUAAUUUCUGACACUUAUGAUUUCAAUACUACGUGUAGGACCUGAGGCGCUACUAACUCUCCUAAAAGCAAUUGUUGUUAGGAAAGACGCAUACCCUAACCUUAUAGUGCAUUCACCCAAGCGUCCACGAUGAACAUAAGGAGAGUUGAUGGAUGCGACCAACCUUCCGAUCUGUCAACACUACAGAUUUUUCGCACCUAUAAAAGAACUUUUACAUUUUAUUCGAGAGUUAUUGUCAUUUUUUUUUGUUUUUAAAAAUAAAAAAUAAUUGAAUUUAAAAAAAAUCUCAUAUUGAAUUGAUUUUAUUUAGCCGUACAUUUGUGAAAAUAUAAUUCCAUUUCAAAAAUUAAUUCAACAAUUGAAUAAAGUCAAAAUCAUUUCUCUUCCUUUAACUUCAUGGUUAAGGAAUCAAAUGUUCUCAUCGGAAGGCCCAUCAUAACAGUAUGGCCCUGACUGUACAGAAUCACAACCUCCUAAAGGGCGAAAGACCUUGCCUUAGAAAACCGAGUGAAAAAGGAAAGUCCCAUUCUCUGUUGCCGAAGAAGAAGAAGAAAGGAAGCUAAGUUGAGGUGAGAUUUGUAUGGUUUUUUCUAUUUUCUUGGCAACCAACCAGAUUAGUUUUUUCUUUUCAUUGCUUCCAUUCUUGGAUGGGAUCUGAAGUUUGUGCGGGAGCAGUCUGAUUCUUUCGUUCGAAACGGUGUCGUUUUUGUUGCUGCGAAGCCGAAGUCGAAGCGACUUCGCUCUUCGCUUUGAUCGGAACCGUGGAUUUUCGCCUUGGUGAUUGGAUAUAGGUUGUAGUAUUUUUAUGAUGUUUUCGUGUUUGGGCUUUGCUGUAUUUGAUGAGCAUUAGGGUUUCUAUCACAUGGCGCCCUCUUCGGAGCCGUUAAGGUGAUAUUGGUUGAUGGAGCCCUGCUUUAGAUAAUGAUCCAUUUGCUAGGCUGAAUAAUAUCAUACAGUCACCGUUCCCGAUUGUUUUUUACAAUAUAUAUAUAUAUAUAUAUAUAUAUUUUUUUUUCAUUUUUCAUUUUUCUGUUAAAGAAUUUUUCCUUGAUUGAAAGUCGGUGCGGGGUAGUAGCAUGCUGUCAAAGCUGCUGCUAUUCGAAUAAUUUUUUUGGAUUCCUUUAUUUUUUGUUAUGUGUUUGUGUGUAUGUUUUGCCCUAACAAUGUGUAGAAUUAAUAUGUGGUUAGCGAUGGAUCUUAGUAGGAUUAUAGUGAUAUUUUAUGGUUCUGGAGUAACCAUGUUAAUGGGGUCAACAGCUCCUGCAGAACAUGUGUGAUGUAUGGAGGGGUUGUUUAGGGUGAGAGACUCUACCAUUAUGGGAGUUGUUUUCCAUGGUAUAUAGUCAUAUCAAUUCGUGAGUCAUGGAAUGCCUGUUUGUUGGAUUGUCCUCACUUAAAGAUUAGGUUAUAAGUGAGCUUGUGUUUUUGAUGGUAAGAUUAAUUAUCCUUUGGUGUCUUGACUGAGAUGAAAACAAAAAACCAUAUCAGUCCUAAGUGUUCCGAUUCAAUACUGCUGUCUCUCAAGCUUUGCUGAUUUCCAGACUUAAUGGAAAAUUUAUGUCCCAGAGCAGCAUUUCAGAUGAAAAGAUAUCACCUUGAACUCUACUAAUGUAGCAUGUUUGGGGUUUAGCUUCCUAAAAAAGUUACCUAUGAGCAGCUGGAUUAGAAGCAUAUAGAUGAGAAAGGAUAGUAUGUGAUUGUGUGGACUAUGAUCAUGUCAAAAUUGUGUUUUUGGUGUUUUGGAAGUAUCUUAGGUGUACUCCCUUUAUUCUCAAACUACGAAAAAGAUGAAUGUAUUUUACUUUUGAGGGACCUUAAAACCUGCAGAAAGUAUCUUAGUUGCCAAAGGAUUAUGUUGUUAACCAUUGGAGAAAUGUGGGAAUGGCUCUGGGAAGGUACUUUGGUUAGCACUAUAAAGAAAGUUUAUGGAGAAAGAGGUUAAUAUCAGAAUUAGGCAUGAUGCUAAUGAUAUUAGGAUACAAAUGGUUCAACCUCUUGUAGAAUGGGAAGCUUGGAGACUUGUGACCCACAUAUUGAAUCUUGAUUGAUGGAGAUAUCCUUCUUCUUUUCCAUUAAGUACUGUGGAGAUAUAAUUACUGUGUGUAUAAAGGGACAUAACCCCUGUACCCGUGGAGCAUACCUGAAGGCCACAAAGGGACAGAAGAGGAAUACAAGAUACAACUAAAAGUGAAAGGAGCAAAAAUGACAUGCACGCACAGAGACAUCACUCCAAACAAGGAUACCCCUUCCAUAUAUUCAAUGAAAUCUAAGAAGGAGCUCCUAUGAUCCACAGUCAAUGUUGAUGACCACACAAAAUGGGAGAGAAAAAUCGUGCCUGUAAGCUUUCAGCCUGGUAAUUCAAGGCCCUCAUACGUUGUUGAAUUGUGCCCUUUCCACAACCCUAAUGGAAUGCUCAUCGGGAUUGCACUUCACAUCUUCUCCUUUCACUCCUCGCUUGUCAUGUCAACUCUCCUACACACAAUUUCAAGGUUUUUGGGAUAAUCUAGAGAACUUAAAGCAUCGUAAAAACAUGGACCACUUUUUAUGAACCAGUGGGUAAUAAGCAACAAAUGGUCCUUGGCCUCAUGAUUUGACUUACACAUGUAAUACCAGUUGGAAAGAUUUUCCCUUUUCUAACCAACUGGUCAAUGGUUAAAAUUCUAGUCCAAGCUACCAUUGCACUGGAAUGAAUGCCACUUGAAGAGGAACUGCAGGAUCCCAAGUCCAUUUUUUGGGAAAAGCCACUUCCUGUCUUGCCUCUUCUUACAGAAGAAUUUAAUCAAGAAAUUCUUACAUGAAAUCAACAUCUACCAUCCACCCCCCACCGUUAUUGUUUCACCUAUUCAUCAACUAAGGUUUUCUCUCUUCCUUUUUGCUUGCUUGUUCAAUGCUGUGUGUAUAUAUUGUGUGUACUUUGCCUGUGCUCUUUUCUGGCACUUUUAAUAUAUUUUCUCAUUUGCCUAUAAAAAGAAGAGGGAAAAAGAAUCUUCACCGAACCUUUAAAACUCUAAUAAUCAGUCACCUGGUCAUCCUUAUUACCUGGAAUCUUGAACAAGUUGAGGUAUCCUUUUAUUUUUUAUUUUUUAUGAGAAACAACAAUGUAAUAUAUUGAAUUAGGAAUUAAGAAGUAUAAUAGAAGAAUGAGGAAUCCUUCCACAAACAAAAGCUAAACAAAAGGAAUACCAUAAACACAAGUUGAGGUAUCCUGACACUCUAAUAAUCAGUCACCUUGUCAUCCUUUAUACCCGCAAUCUCGAACCAGUUUGGAUAUCUUGAAACUCAAAUAAUCAGGCACUGUUUCAUGCCAACCUGUUGCCAUUUCUCACCUUGAACCUGCAAUGUCAAAAUAUCUCUCCCAUCCAAUGCCGAUUUUUCAUAACCCUACCGCAAAGGAACCUUUCAACACCUUGGAACACUACCCUCUCACUUCUUCCCCAUACUUAUCAUGCACUACUCUUUCCUAGCUAUUGCAUUGCCACAAUAAAAUCUCCAAAUCCAGUUACCCAGCAUAUCCUUAUUCAUCACCUCCAAACAACCCAACUUCCUUUGACCAGAAAAUCACCUUCCUGUUUGUUGGAUGAGUCUUCAACUCCUUUGUCCUUUCUUGAGGCCCUUCUCAAUCAUUUUGCCUUUUCCUAACUCACUUUGGAAUGAAAAAUGUUGACAUAAAAUAAGUUGGCAUAUCUGUUAAUUUUCUUAUAUUAAAGCAACUCUUACCGCUUGUUGACAAGUAUUGUCUCUUCCUGCUAGCUGGACACCUUCAACUCUCAGAAUAAUUGGACCCCUCACUAGGUGUAUUAGGAGGACACAUGAAGGGAGGCCAGGUUAGUGCAAGAACACACCCUACAAUUAAGAAAAUGAGUCAAACCUCCAACAUUCUCCUCCAUCCUGAUGGGGGGAUGAUCUUGCUUUUCACCAAGUCAAUCCUUGACCUUGGAACUGCCUUGAAACAAAGAUCCACACAUUGAAGAUAUCUUAACUAGUUCCCCUUGCCUUAUGAAGGCAAUUUUUUCAUCAGCAUAUAUAAGAUGAGGAAUGAGCUCUCUACGAUUCUCCCUCCACCAUGUUGAAAGCCUUCAAUGAAAACUUAUUCCUUUGCUUUGCACAUCAUCCCCCUACCCUGAAUCUCAAGCAAGAAUGGUGAUAAAGGGUCUCCUUUUGAGUCCCUCUAGAGUUCUUAAAGAAUGCAAUUGGCAUAAUGCUAUUGAUUGCUGAAUAUCUAAUUGACUUGUUGCAUGUUUCAUUCUACUCCAUGAACUUUUCCUUGAAUCCCAUAUGCUCACAAACAUAAAGGGUUUCUAUUUCACAUGAUCAUAUGUUUUCUUUAUAUUCAACUGGCAUCUCACAUUAGCAUUUUCCUUUCUUGGCAUCAAUGCACUAGGUUAUCAGAAAUUUUCUUAUCCUCUUCAAGAAUCGUGUGAGCCCAAAUACCAACUUAUCUAAAACCUGUCUCAAACUUCAAGCUAAAAGGCAUGGGUAAGCUUGGAAAUGUCCUCUUAUAGGCCUAAAAUUUUCUGGAUCAUUUUCUCCCCUUUUCUUGAAACAAACACAAUGAAACUUAAUUUAAACUUUUCUCAAAUUCACACAUAACAUGAAAUCAGCUCACCAGUUCCAUAGCCUGCCUUUGUCCAGUCCCUAAUUUUGAUAUUAGUAAAAAUACCAUAAUAGCACCCCAAUUUAGAAUUGUCACCCCCUAAAUCUUUAAUAGCCUUGGCAACCUCUUCCUCCUCAAAAUCCCUUUUAAGUAACCCUUAUUUAUUUGCAAUGUCCUUGUGGAAUGUGAUUUGACUAUAGUUAUUUCUUGGGUCUAAGAGAAAAAGUGAAAUCCAUGGAAAUGACAUGUAUAAAAUCAGUGAUUUAUCUGUAGAGUUGGGUUGUUCCUAUACUUGGCAUCCUCUUCUAACUGACCAAUCAGUAGAUAGGUUGGUAAUGUGAGGUGCCUUAUUUCUAAAUCCUAAGUAGUGGAGAAUAUGCUCCCUUGAUAUCUGUAUUUUCCAUUUGUAUUUUGAUGGUUUGCUUGUUUUGGCUUUGCUUUCUUUUGUUGUUGUUCUCUUUAAGGGCUUUCAUUCCUAAUAUACAUUGAAUUUGUGAAUUGGAGAAGUAUUUAUUGUUUCAAAUGCAAAAGGGAAGGGGAAACUAGAGCUAAUCUUCAAAUCAUCUGCCCUAGGCCUUCAAGGCACUAAGUUUGAAUAUAAACCUUGGAAGUAAUGGAUAACCCUGAGGCUAGUUUCAUUACUCUUGUAUUUCCAGCCUAUGUUGGUAAUCAACAUACUCGUAUGGUUAUAGGGCUUGUGCAUAUGGUGAGUAAAAGCAGCCUGUAAAAGAAUGUAUUCUUGUCUCUUUUUUUCAAUCACAGUGCCUUCUAACUUUGGCGGCAAGUAAUCCCCUCUAUUUGGCCAAUUUAUGACAUGGUCCUUCCUCCUGUAUUUUUCUUUUGUUUUCUUAGGUUGCUGUACAUUUUAUGUUUUGAAAUUAGUAUUUAGUUCCAUAAGGCCCAUUUAUGUUACAUGAUUUGUUUGAGAGAUUGUUAUGAUUAUUAUUAUUAUUAUUAUUAUUUUCUUUUUCUUCUGGUUCUCUCUGGAACUUGAACCUGAAACCUCCCAUAACCCUGGCCUCUUACCACUUGAGCUAGGCCGUAAGGGCAGAUUUUCAGUAUUUGAUUUGGAAAUUGUAUUUUAUGUUUGAGGAUAGUUUUUUCUUUGCUCGGUUACUAUUCUGUGUAGGUUCAUGCGGUUAGCAUUUGCUGGCUUCAGCUUGUUUGUGUCAUUCUCUUGUUGAGUGUUUUGACUUGAUAUGUGAAAUGAUUGUGAUACCUUGGUCUCUGGGUUCAAGGUGUCGGCCUUAAUCUUCUUUAUUUUUUAUUUUUUAAAAUCUUAUAUCUUCAAAUAAAUAAUAAUAAUUUUUUCCCCAGGGCUGAAAGUUCUUUUUCUGCUUCUGAUUUUAAAUUACACUUGGAAGAGGUUAUGGGAAGUUAUUGUUAUUAUGGUCUUAUGUUCGAACAUAAAUUGGUGUAUGUAGUUGAGCAAUUCAUAAAUUCCAGUCAUUUUUUUUUCAGGCCAUGAUUUUAAGAUUUAAUUCAUUCCAAGAAUUUGCAUUUUGAUUUGAUGGGUCAUGCGAUUUAGAAUGAUUUUAUAUAUUAUUGAACUGAAUUCAAGUCUAUUUGUUCUAAAAAUUUGUGAAGGCAUUAUUGAGUUUUUCUUGGGGCAAUUUUGAUUUAAGAAUAUUUCUCAUAUAUGACAUCUGUGCUGUACUUUUUACUGAUUUAUCUCGCUGGCCCUUAAAGCAGGGAAUUUCUACAUGAUGGCGGAGUGAUGCAUUUCUCAAUGACAAAGAUCUGUUCCUGCUAUAGCAGUCAUCUAUUUUUUAUAGUAUCAUAGUCUUAGACUGAUACAUAUGGCUGGGCUUUUAACUGGGGAUCCCUCGAAUAGUGGAAUUUUUGAGGAUGGAUCUUGCUGCAAUUCAAAGGAUGGGCUAGAGGAAGGUGGUCAUUGGUAUAUGUCUAGGAAGGAAAUAGAAGAAAAUUCCCCAUCAAGAAGAGAUGGCAUUGACUUGAGGAAAGAGACAUAUUUCCGAAAAUCAUACUGCACUUUCUUGCAGGAUUUAGGCAUGAGGCUUAAAGUGUAAGUCCUAUACAAAAUGUUGUUCUGGAUUAUGUCUCCUUUUUGAACUGGUUGUAGGCAAUUCUUUCAGGUAAUUGGUUGCAUCAUUUCAGGUUUGCAUUGAUAUUUUAGUUUACAUCUUUGUUGCGUUUUUAUUACACUUUUUUAAGUAGGAUUAUUAAAUUGAGUUGCUGAAAAUGGUUCUUAACCAAAUUCUUUUGCUUGAUGUGAGGUGUACAAAGUGUAGAUGAAUGAAAUUGCUGUUUGAUUACAUGGAACUUCUUUAGUAGAUAAUGUGGGAAUAAUUAUUUCUGAUGGUAGAUGUUGUAUGGUGGGCCAAUACUGGUCCUCUGUGCAUGUAGUAGAAUUAAAGAUGUAUUGUACUCAUGUAGAUUGUUUCCUUGAUAGUCAAAGAGUUUUUAUUUGCUUAUGGAGACAACAUUAAUUUUCAGCUUACUUGAUGUGUUGCAUGAAUGCUUCUAAAUCAGUGACAUAGGUGGGCCUCUGCACUCUCUAAGCUUCUCUGUUUAGAUUUCAUUAAUUCUAAUCUGCUGCAGAGCUCAAACUGUCUCUAGGAGAAUAGUAUAAUUUUAUUAGGAGCUUAAUGUCAUGGACUUAGUCGUUUACUAAGCUCCUGCGGCACUUAGACAAGUCAAGACGCUUGAUCUUGCUAAAUCAGCCUUACUCCCAAUGCUUAGCUUGCUAGGCUAAGACGUUUGCGACUCGGAAGUUGUAGAAGACGUAGUAGGCAACUCUUAAAGAAUAGAAACUUCUUAUUACUCAAGGUAGCCUUUACAAGUGCUUUGAGGACUCGCUUGGUUAGGAAGUGAUUUGGGUGGUGCCUUGGCCAAAUGAGACCCUUACCUAUUUAUAGGCACCAAUGGAACUCUCUAGAACCUUGGAGGGUUCCUUACAAAUCAAGAAGAUUCUAGAGUGCCCUACACAAUUCUAUGUACAACCCUAUGUACAAGAGAUCUCUAGAAUUCUCUAGAAAGCCUUGGACUCCUCUCAUGCCUUCCACCAUAGUGUAGAGAUGUGUGAACAUCUCUAGGCAUCUCUAGAACCUUUCCCACUCUUCCCUCCAAUGGCUUUGUGUAGAUGGCUCCAUGAGUCUCCAGAAGCUUCCUGAGCUCUAUAUAAACCCAUGAGGAGGCUCAUUUGAAGCAUCCUGUGACAUUAAGCUAACUGAAGCUUUGCUUUCUUUCAUGCUCACAUACUGUAGUUUAAAUAUGUGUUCAUGUUUGUUGAAGCUAUUUUUUUUAAUAAAGGAUAAGAGGAUGAUGGGGAUAUGCCCCUAAGGUUUUUUCAAAAGAAAAAAAAAUAAAGGAAGAAAAGGGUGUUUUGGCAUUUUUUGCAGAUUUGGGUUAUUUGGAGUUAACACGAUUGGUACCUUAAUGAAGUCAAGCUUGAUUAGUAUGUUUUUACAUCUCAUCCUUUUACCCCAAAAUGCAUUAAUUCCUAUGUGAUUGCCAAUAAAUGUUAGUGGAGACCUUGCAAUGUGCAAGCACAAGCACAACAUGUGUUCCAAGGGUACAUGUUUUCAUAAAUUUAUUGACAUAUUGCUGCAUAAAACCUGGCCAAAUUGUUGAUAUAAUUAUAUACCAUAACAUUUUUUUUUAUCAGAAUAAUUAUAUAACAUUUUUUUUUAUCAGAAUAAUUAUAUACCAUAACAUGAAUAUUAGAAAUCUGGUUUCAUUGCAGACCCCAGGUAACUAUAGCCACAGCAAUAAUAUUUUGUCAUCGGUUCUUUCUUUGCCAAUCUCACGCAAAGAAUGACAGAAGGGUGAGUGACUACUCUCUUUCCAAACUGAUUAUUUUUAACCAUCUUGAAUCUUGUUCAUAAGUGUUGAUUUAGUUUUAUCAUUUUGGUUCAAGGAUGAGUUGUAGUGACAUAUGGAGUUCUAGUGACACAUUUCAAAACAUGAGCAGUGGUUUGGUCUGAUGUUUUAGAAGUUUUUGAUUUGAAUUAAUAAACUUUAAGUUGUAGUCAACAUGUGACAUUAGCAAGAAUGAGGGCACUUACUAAAAGCAUGUUCAUAUGAUUUUUUCCCCCUUAGAGUUAAGCUAUUUUAUCCACCAUAGGAGCCAACAAGAAGGAUGUACAAGAAUGCCCAGAAGUAAAUACAGAGGCAUACUAUUGAAGAAAUUAUCAUUGAUUCUUGAUGUGUCUAAAUUUGUGUCAUGUUGACAGUGAUUCGGCUCACUAUUCAUAAGUAGGAUCAUAACACUUGGAUACAGAAUCCCUGUGUACUUUGGUGUGCUUUUUGAUAAGCUCUGUACAUAUAUUUUUUUGCUUGCUUAUCAGGAAAAAAAAAAAAAAAAAAGAAGAGCACUUGGGUGCAGAAUCCUUCCAUAUGGGGCACAACUCCUAUGGUGUUGUGGUACUCUGGCAGCUGUUCUUUUUCAGAAUUUUAGGGAUAAAAAAAAUAAUUGGUAGCUAAGCAUGCUUACUUAAUAAAACAUAUAAAAUGGUUAUCUUGAUUAGAUCAUUACCUUUCUGGUUUAAUUGCCUGUUUCUUUGAACUACAAGAAACCAGGGUUGGAUUAUUUUUUUUUUAUAAUUCAUAAGACUGCCAACCUUUCUGAGGGUGCCAAGUACUCUAUGUCAUUAACAGGCUAUUCUUAGGCUCUGGUCACCUUGUGCUAUUUUUUAUUUUGCCUUUAUUUAAUCAUAUAAAUUUUUGAUGUUUGCUGCAGAAUUCCUUUUUUUUUUUGGGCAAAUGAGCUAAGUGUGAUUUGAGGGUAUGCAGAAGCUAUGAUAAGAGAACUUGUUGUGCAUGGGAAGAAAAGUAGAUAAAAAUGAAAUACGCAAGAGAUUAGUUGGUUUUGCAUUUGAUCCAUUCUUAUCGCUACCUUCUUUCAUAUGCUUUACAGACCAUCGCCACAGUAUGCAUGUUCCUCGCAGGGAAGGUUGAAGAGACUCCACGCCCACUGAAGGAUGUUAUCCUUGUUUCCUAUGAAAUAAUUCAUAAAAGGGAUCCUGCUGCUGUCCAGAAGAUCAAACAGAAGGUGCCUUUUCUAUUGUUCAAUGCUUUUACCAGUAUAUUUGUAUACUUUCUUUCUCAUUCUGAUGCUUGCCUAUUCUCCUCCAUACCAAAAAAAAGGUUGUGGUUGGGGGCACAAGUGCAAGAAGCUACAUAAUUAGGGGUUUGGGUAUGAAGAAGUAUAUGAACAGGAGUGAUGGGAAAACUCAAGAAACAAGGUUUUACAGAAAUAAUCCAACAGUAUCUUUAUUAAUUUGUAAGAACUAAAGAAAAUAAACUUGUAAUCAUACGAGAGAUGCACUGAAAUUUUUUGUUGGGAGGUUAAAGGAUUUAAUAUCAUGUGUUUUCCCUCGCAACAAACUUAGUUUGGAUAAAAUUAGAAGGAUGAGAUUAAGCAAAUAAGAAGAACAUGACUGAAGUUGUUUCCUUCUAGUCUAAUUAUAGUUUCAAGGUGUUCUCUGAGGGCUGCCAUUGUGUUGCAGCUUUUAGUUUGGAUAAAAUUAUUGUUUCCUAUACUGAUUAUUAGGGAAAAAAAUAUAACAUUUUGAAAAGAUAAAUAUAACAUUUCGAAUGCUUUCUUGGAAUGUAAGAGGGGUUAAUGGCAGAGACAAAAAGAAGGUGAUCAAGGCUUUGAUAAAAAAAAUAGGGUGGAUUUGGUUUGCUUGCAGGAAACUAAGAUCCAGGAAAUGUCAAGGGGUCUUGUUCAUAGUUUAGGAGUGGGGAGAUUCUUAGAAUGGGGAGCUGUGGACUCAAGGGGAGUUGCUGGAGGUAUAGUGGUUUUUUGGGAUAACAGUGUGUUGGAAUUGGUCAAAUUGGAAGCGGGCAUGUUCUCAAUCUCUUGCCAUUUUAAGAAUUGUGAGGAUGGUUUCAGGUGGACUCUUAAGGAGGGAUAGGGAGUGUUUCUAGGGUGGGUUGGGGGCCAUAAAGGGACUUUGGAGUGACCCUUGGUGUGUUGCUGGGGUUUUUAACUCAAUUAGAUGUCUUGAAGAGUGUAGCAUGCGAGGGAGUUUGAACUUAGACAUGAGAAGGUUCUUUGAGGUAAUAGAAGACUUAGAGUUAAAAGACCUGCUGUUGUUGGGGGGGCCCUUUACUUGGAGUGGAGGGGUGAACAAUCAAUCAAUGUCAAGGUUGGGUCGGUUCUUAGUGAAUGAGGGGUGGGACUAUCGUUUUAGCUAGUUGAUGCAGUGUGUCUUUUUGAGACCUGUGUUUGACAAUUUCUCAGUUCUUUUAGAUAGUGGAGGUUUGAGGAGAGGCCCCUCCCUUUUAGAUUUGAGAAUAUGUGGUUGAAGGUGGAGAGCUUUAAGGAUCUCCUGAAGUUGUGGUGGGAGGGGGACAACUUUAAUGGCUCUUCAAGUUUUAUUUUGGUGUCAAAAUUACAUGUUGUGAAGUUUAAACUGAAGGAGUGGAAUAGAGAUGUUUUUGGCAGAGUUGGAGUUAGGAAGGAUUUGGCCUUGAAUCAAGUGGACUAUUGGGAUGCUAAGGAAAAAACUAGCAUCUUGUCUUUGGAGGAGUUGGAAGCAAGAAAAGAAGUGAGGAAAGAUUAUAAAAAAUGGGUUCUGUUAGAAGAGAUUUCUUGGAGGCAAAAAUUUAGGGAAGUGUGGUUGAAAAAGGGUGACAGAAAUACUGGUUUUUUCCACAAGAUGGCUAAUGCACACAAAAGAAGGAAUUAUGUGGACAUAAUUAAUAUUAAUGGUGUUUGAAUUUUGGAGGGGAAUGAAAUCAAGGAAGGGGUGGUCAGAGCCUUUCUGUCUUUGUUGUCCAAUUCGGGGGACUGGUAUCCUUCUUUAUCUGGGUUGCAGUUUGAAACGCUAGAGACUGUGGGCACUUUAGGUUUAGAGAAGCCAUUCUUGGAAGAGGAGGUUUUUGGUGCUCUGUAGGGGUGCAGUGGGGACAAAGCACUAGGGCUUGACGGUUUUUCUAUGGCAUUUUGGUAGUUCUCUUGGGACUUUGUGAAGGAUGAUGUGAUGAGAUUCAUCAGGGAAUUUUAUGAACAUGGUAACUUUGUUAAAAACCUGAAUGCAACCUUUUUGGUUUUAAUCCUAAAAAAAGCGAGUGCUGAAGAUCUAAGGGAUUUUAGCCCUAUAAGUUUGGUGGGGGGGCUGUAUAAGUGGCUGAUCAAGGUUUUAGCCAAUAGGCUAACAAAGGUGGUUUCUAAGGCCUAAGGGGUGUUUGUGGAGGGUAGGCAAAUCCUAGAUGCAGUGCCGAUUGCUAAUGAAGCCAUUGAUUCGAUCUUGAAGAAUAACGAAUGUGGUAUCUUGUGUAAACUUGACAUAGAGAAGACAUAUGACCAUGUGAACUGGUCUUUUCUUCUCACAGUUAUGCAGAAAAUGGGUUUUAGGGAGAAAUGGAUUGGGCGAAUCAUGUGGUGCAUUGACACUGCAAGUUUCUCUGUGUUGGUUAAUGACACCUCUACUGGUUUCUUUCAAAGCUCAAGGGGUUUGAGGUAGGGGGAUUCGCUUUUGCCUUAUUUAUUUGUGAUUGCUAUGAAGGUGUUUAGUUGUCUCCUAAAGAGGGCAAUGGAUGGAGGUUUUUUGUUGGUUUACGAGGUGAAGGGUAAGAGUGGAGAAGGGGUUUAGAUAUCCCAUUUGUUGUUUGCUGAUGAUACCUUGGUGUUCUGCCAAGCUUCCUAAGAUCAAAUGACCUAUCUUAGCUAGUUGCUUAUGUGGCUUGGGGUCGUAUCGGGGUUGAGAAUAAAUUUGGAAAAGAGUGAAUUAAUUCCAGUGGGUAGGGUGGAGAAUAUUGAUGACCUUGCAAUUUGGAUUUAGAGUGGGUAGCCUCCCAUCCACUUAUUUGGGCCUUCCUUUGGGUGCACUGUUUAAGUCAGUGACAAUUUGGGAUGGAGUAGAAAAGCGGUUCCGUAGAAGGUUGGCUAUGUGGAAGAGACAAUACAUUUCCAAAGGAAGGAGAACGACCCUACUUCGAAGCACGUUGUCGAAUUUACCCAUCUAUUUUAUUUCUUUGUUGCGCAUGCCGAGCUCUUUAGAUAGAGACUAGAGCAAAUUUAUAGGGAUUUCCCUUGGGGAGGUGGAAAUUAGGAGCGAAAACCUUAUUUAGUAAGAUGAGCGUUGGUGUGCUUAAGUAAGAAGAAAAGGGGUUUGGGUGUCAAGUGUCUUUCAACACUAAAUAAGGCUCUUCUUUGUAAAUGGAAUUGGUGGUUCGCAAAUGAGAGAGAGGCUUUGUGGAAUCAAGUGAUUAGAGGGAAGUACGGGGAGGAAAGAGGAGAAUGGUGUUCUCGGGAAGUGAGAGGCAUAUGGUGUUGGGUUAUGGAAAGGGAUAAGGAUAAACUGGGACAUUGUGGGUACUAUGAUUUCUUUCCUUGUAGGUAAUGGGCGGAGGGUAGGAUUAUCGAGGGAUAGGUGGUGUGGGGAUUCCCCUUUGUGUGUGUCUUUCCCAUCCUUGUUUGCUUUAGCUGUUGAUAAGGAGGUGUGGGUGGUGGACAUUUGGGAUCCCUUGGCUGAGGGGGAUUGGGGGGGAUGGAACCCUUGUUUCUCAAGAUCCUUUAAUGAUUGGGAGGUGGAGGAGGCGGAAAGCUUCUUGAGGCGUCUACAUGGGAAGAGUGUGCGGUGAUGUGGAAGACAUGGUGCUUUGGACCAAAACAAAGAGUGGGAAGUUCUCGGUCAAAUUCCUCUACUAUGCUAUAGAGCUGGGCAGAUCUUCUUUGUUUCCCUCAAGUUGCAUUUGGAAUGUGUGGGUGCAACCCAAAAUUAGCUUCUUUGCUUGGGAAGCUACAUGGGGCAAAGUUUUAGCUUUGGAUUUAAUUCAAAAAAGAGGGUGGGCCCUGACAAAUAGAUGCUUUUUGUGCCAUGAGAAGGAUAUAAACCACCUUCUUCUUCAUUGUACUAAAAUAAGGGUCUUGUGGGAAUUGUAUUUAACCUUGGUUGGGGUGUUAUGGGUGUUGCCUUCUUUAGUUAGAGAGACUCUCCUUAGUUGACAUGGUUCUUUUGUGGGCAAAAAGUGUAAAAAGGUGUGGAGAGCAGCUCCUCUAUGCAUCUUUUGGACAGUUUGGAAGGCAAGAAAUAGAUUAGCCUUAAAUGAUGAUGUGUUUUCGAUUCAAAGACUCAAAUACCUUUUUGUUUUUUCUCUUUGGUCAGAGGCAAAGUUGUUUAUAACUAAUUGACCUUUAACUUUAGUUAAUUUUAUUAAUUGGUUGAGCUCUAGUUAAGGUUGUUUUUUUACCCAACUAGGCGCUUGUUUACUUGUACUUAUUGGCCGGUUUGGUGGUGGGUGUAUGGGUAUUGUAUACCUUGAGUUGCUCUUUUGACGCCUCUUUUCAAUAGAUCUUUUCUUUAUCUGUCAAAAAAUAAAAAAUAAAAAAAAUAAAACCACUUUUAUUAAAAAAUUAAAAGUGUCACUAGGACACACGAAAGUACACGGGAUGUAUGCAAAUAGCGCCUAAUAGCAUAAAAAAAUGAGAAAGAGCCCCAACAACAACACCCUUGCUUAACAAGAACCCGACCACUAAACAAAAUCAAGUAAAGACAUAGAAUUUGCCCUUAUGUACUUCUUUACCGAAGUAAACAAAUUUCUAAGAAAGAACAUUUUCAAAAAAUGACUUGAAUGCUCCUCGUUAUCAAAUGACUGAAGAUUCCUUUCUGCCCAAACCAUUCAAAAGAUACAUAAGAAAGCUGCUCUCCAAACCUUUUUACAUUUUUUUCCCACAAACAAACUAUGCCACCUUAAAAGAGCCUCUUUAAUAGUAGCAGCUUGCACCCAAUGGAUACCAAAAAGAUCAAACAACAACCGCCAAAGAAUCCUAACUUGCUCCACUAAAGGUGGGAAUUCUGACCAUAAUUGAAUCACAAAGCAUGAUGAGCCCACCACCACGUUAAACAAUAUCAACAAAUUUCUACCAUCAACUUUUACGAGAACUUUGGCACACUGCAAAAUUGGUAGAAUGUGGUGUCUUUGUCGAUUGCCACAAAACCACCACAAGUGUUCCCUAGUUUUAAAGAAGGUUACUUUAUCCCAUAAAUGCACAAGCAGGUCCACUACUCUCAUCCAUGCCUCUUUGACAUGAACACCUUUCCUAUAACAACCCAUAAUUGGAGACCAUCUACUUAGAAUACCUAGAAAAAGCAAUUUGUCCAUGAACAUCCUUCGUCCACUUUGGAGGGCCUUUUUUGCAUUAGAUAUUAACUCAAAUUCAAACAAGUUGACUUUCCCCUUUAGACUCCAAUUGUGCAUUCCCUCCUCUUUAAAGGAGGUAAAUUUGGGAUGUAAUAUGACGAUUUUCUUCGUUGUCUUGCAAUACAACCCCGAAGGACCUCCAUUUUUCUUCAUGCUUCUUCCCCUACUUGAUCUACAUUGCAUUGCCAAUCUCUGUCUAAGAACCAUGUACAAUGUAAAAAAAAAAAGACUUGUCUUUCUUAGAAGCCAUUGAAACACCCAUUGCUAUUGAAGAUGUUUUUGCUAGGGUAACUCUUUGGUCUUGUAGCUAGAAGAAAUCCCAAGGCUUCUUAACUCCCUAGCAAGAGUACUCCAUCCCCUAGGGAAUUCUCUACCUUCUAAGAACACCAAAACAAACCUCCUCGCCUCCAUAGAGCAUAAGAAAAAUCAUCCGGCCACAUUUCUUUGGAGCUCCAAUGAAUGCUUUCUUCCUCCUUUACUAUAAGCCUCUUGGAAAUGCUUUCUUGGAACCUUGAGACAACAUUCUUCCACCCCAGUUAGGAGUUGUUGUGGGAGUGAUUUCAAACUCCUAACUUGCUUUUGUGGAGGGAAGACAAAUCUUGGAUGCUGUCUUUAUAGCAAAUGAGGUGCUAGACUCAAGGUUGAAAAGCUAAAAAAGGGCGGUCAUUUGCAAAAUGGAUAUCGAAAAGGCCUAUGACCAUGUGAAUUGAGGAUUCUUAUUAGCAAUCUUGGAACAAUGGGCUUUGGGGCAAAAUAUGUAAGGUGGAUGAAGUGGUGCAUGUCCUUAGCUUGGUUUUUGGUUUUGAUUAAUGGGACCCCUACAAGUUUCUUUCAAAGUUCUAGAGGCCUAAGACGGGGAGAUCCUCUUUCCCCUUUUCUCUUUAUUUUUUUUUUUUUUGAUCAGAAACGAAGAAGAUUAUAUUAAUAAAAGAACAAAUACAGCCCUUUUCUCUUUAUUUUGGUAAUGGAAGUGCUUUCUAGUAUUUUGAAGACGGCUAUGGAGGGAUUCAUUAAGGCUAUGUUUGGUUCCCGGAAAAUUUGAGGGAAAAUGCGAGGGAAAGAAAAUACAAAGGAAAAGUAGAAGGAAAGAAAAAGUGAAGGAAAAUAAAAAAAUAGAUUAAAAGUUGAUAAAUUAUUUUUUUUGUUACUUCAAACUCAUUUGAUUUAUUUUAACUCAUCAAUAUAAAGAUUAAAUAAUUUAAAAAUACAUAAGUUUUUAAUUAGUUUUAAUUAUAUUUGAUUUUCUUUGAUAUUUUUCAUAGGACAACCAAACAUGAGAAAAUCAUUUUCCUUAGCAUUUUUUUUCUUUCCUUUGUACUUUCCGGGAACCAAACAUAGCCUAAGGGUUUCUUGGCCAGUGGGAGAGGAGGAGAGGGUAUGGUAGCGUCCCAUCUUCUUUUUGUUGAUGAUACAGUGAUUUUUUGUGAUUUAGAUAAGGAGCAUUUGGAGGCUUUGAGUCGGGCUUUCAUGUGAUUUGAAGUGAUUUCUAGUCUUGAAAUUAAUUUGGAUAAGAGUGAGUUAAUCCUAGUGAGAGAGGUUUCUAAUGUAGAAGAGUUGGUUAGGGUGGUGGGGUGUAAAGUGGGCGCUCUUCUUCUACUAUUUUGGGUCUACCUUUGGGCACUUCCUUCAAGUCUUUUCUCGUCUAGGAUGUAGUAGAGGAAAGAUUUUAGAAAAGACUCGCUAUGUGGAAAAGACAAUACUUAUUGAAAGGAGGGAGAUUGACUUUAGUUAAGAGACUUUAUCUAGUCUACCAAUCUACUAUAUGUCUUUAUUUGUAAUCCCAUGUAACGUGAGCCUUAGAGUGGAGAAGCUUCAAAGAGAUUUCCUUUGUUGGGGGGGGGGGGGGGGGAGGGAGAUUGACUUUAGUUAAGAGACUUUAUCUAGUCUACCAAUCUACUAUAUGUCUUUAUUUGUAAUCCCAUGUAAUGUGAGCCUUAGAUUGGAGAAGCUUCAAAGAGAUUUCCUUUGGGUGGGGGGCGAGGAGAGCUCCAAAGAAAGCCUCAUUUAGGGAAUUGGUCAUUAGUUAGCUUGGAUAAAAUGGAUGGAGGUUUGGGGAUUAGAAAGUUGUUCACUUUUAACAAAGCCCUCAUUGGAAAAUGGAGCUAGAGAUUUGCUUAUGAGAAUGAGGUUCUGAGGAAGUUGGUGAUUGUAGGGAAGUAUGGAGAGGAAGAAGGGGUGUGGUGUUCUAGAGUUUCGAGGGAAGGUUAUGGGAUGGGUCUUUGGAAGGCAAUCGACAAUGGGUGGAAGGAAUUCAACAACAUGGUUGUUUUUAGGGUAGGCAAUGGUAGGAGGGUGAGGUUUUGGAAGGGUAGGUGGUGUGGGGAGGAUCCUUUGGUAGAGGCUUUUCCAGAGUUGUUUUCAAUUGUCAUUGAUAAAGAAGCUUGGGUAAACCAGAUGUGGGAGCAAGUUGGGGAAGGGGGUUAUUGGAACCUAGUGUUCAUAAGACAGAUAAAUGAUUGAGAAUUGGGAGAGGUGGAAGAGUUGCUUAAUAGGUUGCAAGGGCAAGUGAUCAGAAGUGGUGUUGAGGAUGUUAUGGUUUAGCAGGUAACAAAGGGAGGCACCUUUACAAUGAAGUCCUUUUACUACUCCCUAAUAGGACGUUCUCCAAAAGGCUUCCUAUUAGGUAUUGUGUGGAACCCUUUUGUCUCGAUGAGAGUCAGUUUUUUUGCUUGGGAAGCAGUUUGGGAAAUUUUUUUAAAUCUAGAUCAACUAAAAAGGAGGGGUUGGUGUCUUCCAAGCAGAUGUUGUUUGUGUAAAGAUGAAGAGGAUUCAGCAAACCAUAUCCUUCUCCAUUGUCCAAAGGCGACCUUGUUGUGGCACCUCAUCCUUGCUCUUUUUAAUGUCCAAUGGGUAAUGCCUUUCUCAAUCAAGGAUACCUUUCUUAGUUGGCGGGGAUCCUUUGUUGGGAAGAAAAGAAAGAAGGCGUGGAGAGCAGCUCCUUUAUAGUUAUUUUGGACCCUUUGGAAAGAGAGAAAUCAAAGAGCCUUUGAAGAUUUAGACUUGACAGACCAUGCUAUUUUAUGCUCCUUCAUGUACAUGUUUUUGGAGUAGGUUAGGGUACAUUUAGGGUCUAACACUUUGUCUUUAUUCGACUUUAUUGAUAGGUUGGGUUGUAAGUGAAGUGAGGGGGGUGUUUUUUUUUGUGAAUCACUCUCUUUUUUGGCCUUGUAUACAUCGUGUAUACUUUAGACGCUUUUAAUACAAAUGCUUUUACCUAUCAAAAAAAAAAAAAAAAAGAAAUCUUUCACCCCUUUUAGUAAAAUAACCAAACUCUUUUCUCCAAGUCUAAUCCAACUUGAAAAUCCCUGACCCCUCUCCAAUAUCUUGCCUACAACCUGUCCUUUCGCCACCUUGACUUUGAUCUCAAAGGAUUUAGACUCUACUCUAAACCAGCCUUUACCUAUUAAUGUAGUUUGUUUCCUUUGUGCCAUACACACCAUAACAAGCAAGGAGGAGCCAUGUUCUCAACCCUCCUUGUCUUUUGUCUAUACCCCCUUCACUUUCCAACCAAAAAUUAGCUCUUUCACAAAAUCUGGAAGCACCCACAGCAACCUUAAAAUUGCUAACAUGUUCCACAAGUUUGUGAUUUUGACACAAUAGACUAGGAUGUGGUUCGUUGAUUCCUUAUUGAUGCAUCUAUUGGCAUCAGCCAUCCUCUCCUUAUAAGGACAUCAAUGGGUAUGAUUUUUCUCCAUGUAGCCUCCCAAGCAACCCCCCAAAAAAAAAAAGAAAAGUUCUCAAAGGGGCGUAAAUGCCCCAAAUUUCUUUGGUGGGGAUCAAAACUUGAAUCUCAUCAUGUAAGAAGUUGUAGAAAGAUUUUACUUGGAAAAUCCUAUUUUUCUCCUCCCUUUAAAGAAAACUAUCCUCCCAUUCUUUUCGUACUCUUAACCUUGUGGAAAUGCUUCAUAAAUUGCAUCACAACCCCCAACUUCCAAUCUUGAAAAUGUCUUCUUAGAAGAAGGGACUGGGAGCCUUCUUUCUCCAUUACUACCCACAAGUCAGACACCGUUGCAUUUCUAUUAGAGGCAAUCUCAAAUAGUUGAAGAAGCAAAUCUUUCAUGGCACACUCACCCAUCAUUAGACCAUUUGGUUUUGAGGUUUUUCCUAACCAGAAUAGAGGUUCUAAGGCUAAAUUCUUCCCAUCCUCUUAUUGCUUUCCAUAAACCCAUAGUACAAGCUUCUCUCACCUCUACAGUGUACCACCCUCCGCCACCUCUUCAUAUUUGUCUUCGAUUAUCCUCCUGCUUAGGCUAUUGUGCUCAAGGUCAUGUCUGCACAACCAUUUGCCUACCAAGGCUUUAUUAAGAACAUCCAACUUUCUAAUAUUGAAUCCUCCAUUCCUCUUAUCUUACACACUUCUCCAAUUCACAAUGUGCAAUUGUCUCUCCUUAAAAUGACUCCCUCACAAGAAAUCUCUCUGAUAUUUUUUCUAACCUACUCACUUCCUUAAGUAUCAUAAAAAGGGACAUGAAAUAUAUGGGAAAGCUUGUGAAAGUACACUUUAUGAGGGUCAAUCUUUCUUCCUUUUUUCAAGUACCCUUUCUUUUAAGGUGCCAAUUUCCUUUUGAACCUCUUCUUAAUUGAAUCCCAUACCAUAAAAGACUUUAUUAUAUGCUCCCAAAGGCAGCCUAAGAUAGAUGGAAGGGAGACUUCCAACCACCUAAACAAUAUGGCCAAAUAUCUAAAUCUUCCACUUCACUAAUCAAAAUUAUCUCGCUCUUUUUCAAUUUAACUUUCAAACCUGACACAAACUCAAGCCCAUUUCCAAUACUUCUAUUGCUUAACAUUAGCCUUGGGAAAAAAAAGAAAAGAAGAAACUGGAGUGUCAUAUGCAAACAAUACAUUUUGAUGCUCCAACUCACCUUGGUAAUCACCUUUUUUUAGCCUAUUUGUCAAGACAGCUAGGAGUUUAUAGAUGCUCCCAAAUCAGCCUAAAGUCCUUGAUAUCUUCCACACCUUCCUUUUUAGGAAUAUGAACAAAAAAUGUAGCAAAAGAUAUUCCAAUCUUGUGGUGGAUUGCAUUAGUCAACCUUUUUUUUUUUCUUGUUGAUUUGGAAAGAAAAAAGGUAUUCCUCAAGAUGUCCAUGCUCUCAUUUCUUGACAAAUUAGUAAUGUAAUCACCCUUAGAAAGAGAGCUAGAGCACAUAUAUCUUGAAUUAUAGCUCUCGUGUUCUAGUUGGAAGAAGAUAAUUAAGGCAACUAGAAUCUAAUUUGAGAAUAAUCUUGUGCAAAAUGCCAUAAGUUCUAGCAUGAAGCUGAUUUUCCAGAACAUUUAGAAUAAAUGGAAUUUACAAAAGAAGAUAAACUUAGAUGCUUUUCACACCUUAUAACUUUUUAUUUAUUUUCUUACUUAGCUUAUGGUAAGCUUAUUUUUUGGAUCUCUUUCACCAAAGGAAUUUUUUGUCAUCUUCCAACCUUUGUUUUUUUUACUCGCAUGCAAGGUUUGAUGUAUCAGCCAAUCUAGGUACACAACUUGACCAAGUUGUAUCCACCUCGGCCAAGCCUGUUCCAAUUCCAAUAUCCAAGUUUUUUUAACUUGGAGAUGAUAUGGUGGUCUGAGGGAAAAAUCGAAGAUGACUCAUUCUUUGAUGCUAUUUUUUAUUUUUUGUGGAAAAAUGGUUUGGGCCUAGAUUUCAUCCAUGUUUUCCAAUAAAAUGAGUAGAGAUGAUUGAGGUGCCGAUGUGGUGUGGAUUGAUUCAAAAGGGAGGAGCAGCCCGAAACUUGUGGAGAGGGAAUAUGUUUGAUUUAGAAAUGGAAUCUGGAUUUUUUGGAGCUAGAAAUAUGGUUUUAUUCUACUCAGUUGUAGUGAAAGAAAAAAUGGGUUUGAAAGAGAAGAAGAGGUUUUAUUCCACUCAGUUGUAGAGAGAGAAAAAAUGGGUUUGAAAGAGGAGAAGAGAGCAGGUGAUGAAGAAUAAUGAAUAAUGAAUGGGGUAAUGGGUAUUUGGGGUAAAUGGGGUAAUGGGUUUUUAUGGUUUACCCAGUGGGUAUUUGGGUAUUUAUAUAAUGAAUAAUGAAUAUAAUGUGAGAAAUAGAAAUAUGGGAAUGUAGAUAUAAUUUGUAAGAAUUUAAUUUAAUUAUAUUUUAGAUAAAUUACUCAAUUUUUUUAAUACAAUUACAUAAGGUGUAUAAAUUAAAUUUUGUUAGAUAAUAUAUUACUAAAAAAAUUAACAAUUACUUGUAUCAACAUUAAAUCAAAUGGCGAUAAAUCAUUUUAAAAUUUUUAUAAUUAAUUAAAUUUAACAUGAAGUUAUUGAAUAAAAGGACUUUUAGUAUUAAAAACUAAUCAAACACACUUUUAUAAUUAUUUAAAUAAUAUUAAUUAUAAUUAAACCUAAAAUUUUAUUAUAUUUAAUUGUAUAUAUUUUGCAUAUCAUCUGAUAUCGACCCAAGAUACUGAGACUAAUGUGCCUUAGGACCUCUCGAGUUAAUGACCAAGACCAUAACUUUGAACCAUGCUCGCAUGAUUGCCUGCUUUGUUUGUAUUAGUGCUCUGAGUUGGUUUUAUAUUUUAUUCUUAUCCGUACUCCUACAUUAUAUGUAUUAUAUUUAUAUCCCUUAUAACUUCUUAUUUCAUUUUCAUUUUUUAUUUAUUUCCAUGUGUUUCUUUUUUCUUUUUUUCGUUUUUUUCCCAGUGUGGUUUGAUGUUUGAUGCGAUUGAAGAUAUAUGAAUUUUAUGUAAUUAUCAUUUGUUUUGGUCAUUGAUCGGUGUCCACAAUGCAGGAAGUAUAUGAGCAACAAAAAGAGCUAAUUUUAAUUGGAGAGAGGGUUGUACUUGCAACUCUAGGUUUUGACCUCAAUGUUCACCACCCAUAUAAACCCCUUGUUGAGGCAAUGAAAAAAUUCAAAGCCGCACAGGAUGCUCUUGCUCAGGUUGCAUGGAAUUUUGCUCUUGCUCAAGUUGCAUGGAAUUUUGUCAAUGAUGGGUAUGAUUAAGAUGCUUUUUCAUGUCUCUCUUUUUUGAUAGUUCCAUUUCAAAUGGUCUCUCUUCCUCUCUUUCUCUUCUUCACUCACACACUGGAAAGCGGCUUGCAGGCUGAGGACAUCACUCUGCCUGCAAUUUAAGCCCGACCACAUUGCAGCAGGUGCCAUUUUCCUUGCUGCCAAGUUUCUCAAAGUGAAGCUUCCAUCGGAUGGUGAGGUGGUCUGGUGGCAAGAAUUUGAUGUCACCCCACGCCAGUUGGAGGGUUGGUUUCCUCCCCUUUUUUGGUGUAAAAUUGGUAUGGACUCAAUGGGACAGUCUUCAAACAGCUCUGUGGCACUGUUGCUGCAUAUGGAUGGACUGACUGUAGUGUUAUAUAACCUAUUGAGAUCUUGUUUCUGAGAAUUGACAAAAUCAGAUGAUUGUAGCUGUCCUUUCUAUUAUGUUUACAAUGAAUGGCACCAGGUAAGAAAUGGUGAGCAUUCUGUUAUAAACAAUAAAAAAUGGUUGGUUAUAGUCAUCUGAUCAAGUCUAGCAUUUUCCAGAAUGACUAGUAGAAUAAACCAAAUUUUGUGCCAUGGGCAUUGCUGUUUCAUUCAUGGGGCUGUCCUUUUGCGUCUUCUUCGGGUGAACCUUUUUGGAUUUCCCUAACAUUAUGGUUAUUUGUCUUGCAGAGAUUAGCAAUCAAAUGUUGGAACUGUAUGAGCAAAACAGAGUGCCUCCACCUCAAGGGAGUGAAAUGGAAGUUAACGCCAGUGGUGGACUAAACCAUAGGGGCACAACAAAAGCUCCAGUUGCCAAUGAGGAAUCCUUACCGGCUAAUAGUCAUGCUCAAGCAGGGGUUGGAGUGGUGUCUACAUUGAAGCCUGUAACUGCAAGGCAGUCAUGGCAUCGGCCAGCAUCUGACAAUUCAACUGCUGGUAAUCAUGGAGCACUCGUGAAAGGCACCCAAAAUCUAAGUAAUGAUAGUGGGAGCUCUGAGAUGGGUAGUGUUAUAACUGAUCAGAUGGCAGAUGGAGAGGCUCCGGGUGGAUUUAAAUCUGUGCCAGACCAGAUUGAGGGGGAUAAUGAAGAAGGGAAUGGUGGGAGAGAUGAUACCACAUCAACAAGAGAAUGGAAGAAUAAUGGUGCGUUACACAAGUCAGAGAGGGUGGUGGGUGGUCAAAAUAUGGAGACUCAAGAAGGAUCAUCACCCAAAUCACCUCAAGAUGGAAUGAUUAAAAUGAUUGACAAAGAUAAGGUGAAAGCAGCACUUGAGAAAAGGAGAAAGUCCCGUGGAGAGGUGAUCAGGAAAAAGGAGUUGGUGGAUGAGGAUGAUCUCAUUGAGAGGGAGCUGGAAGAUGGUGUUGAAUUGGAUGCCAAGGAUGAGAAGAUCAAGCGAGAGAGAAGGCAGAGCUGGUCUAAAACUGAGAGUCCCUGUUAUACCAAGGACCAAAAGCAUACAGGAGAUAGAAACCCCCUUGGAACGGAGGUAGAGAAUAUCGAAGAAGGGGAGAUGUUGGAUGACGCAUCGCCCAAGUUCAACAAUCGGAAGAGAAAGGAAAGGAGCCCACCUGAUAUACAGUCGGAGGCCAAAAAGUGGACUGAUUCUGCUCCUGGGUGCCACCACCGUAGUAAUCACCAAGGGCAUCCUUAAAAGUAGAAUUAUGUGAGGCCAUUUACUUACAGUAUUAGUAUAUGAUUUAUAUCUGGGAUGCCAAGACUUUUUCCAAGUAGUAGUAUUACACUAUUAUAUGAAUUGGAAUUGGAGGGUAGCUGGUUAUGGCAUGGUGUUUUUGGAUGUUUCAGUGGGGUUACUGGAAGGUGAUGGGAGGGCAUUUAUUUAUUUAUUCAUUUAUUGCCACGUUCAUGUUUGCUGCACUUGGUGAUUUAUUAUUAUGUUGUAUUACCCUGCCCCUCUAACAAUCACAACUCCAUAGCUAAUUCUUUUUGUUAGUGAUUAUUAUAUUCCUUAAAUAUCGAUAAGCCACGGAAUGCAUCAGUACAUACAAUUUCCUCUAGACGAUUGUUUUGUUUCUGUAGAAAUGGAAUUUGAGGCACCCAAAUGUUAUAUGAAAUAGGGUGGUGUUUGGUUCAUGAGUGGUGGGUCUCUUAAUGGUACUUUCUUAGCGAGAAUUGCAGCCACCCUCCACCACAGGGCUAGGUCAUGGAGAACACACGAGACGAGACCCAUGGGCCAAGCCCAUGGUGCCCCCGUCUCUUAUCCUCUCUCUCAACGUUAAUCACAGUCACUUAUCCAAUUUAAGAUUCUCAAACUAUCAAAAUUUAAUACCAUCUAAAUUCAGUUCAAGUGACAAUACUAAAUUUUAUAAAAUUAAUAUCUUACCUUGAGAAAAAUUAGAAAUUAAAAAGUUGUGCUAUGGUCUAUGAGGCUAUGAGAGUGGUGAUGGAUGGGCGGUUCAUAAUUCCCCAUAUAAAUUAUAAUGUUCGAGUGACUAUGCAACCCACACGCCUGUACCUGUCUCUUAUCCACUCUAGAUUUUAGGAUAGAAAAAGAGAGAGAUUCUAUCGCAUUAACCCACAAACCAAAAUCCCACACCCAAUCACACCCACCCACCUCACCCUCCACCUUAUCCUCCUCUCCACCAAUCCCACCUCCCUUGGAAUCUAAAAACCAUUCCUCAGUCCUCCGUCCUCAACUCUUCCAUCUCCAUUUCUGUCCAACUCCCCUGCCAACUCGCCAACAAUGUCUCUCACCAUCCCCACAAACCUCUCCAAGCCCCUCAAGCCAAGGCUCAGCUCUCCCUCCUUCCAAAAGGCAAGGCCUAUGAUAGUGUGCUCAGCCUCAACUGAGCCACAGCCCACCAACAAAUCUCCACUCCAAGCAUUCUCUGCUGCGCUUGCACUCUCCUCCAUCAUUCUAGCUGCUCCAGUCCCUGCCUAUGCUGACAUCGCCGGGCUCACACCCUGCAAGGAGUCCAAAC